UGUCUUUACCCUUCUUGAUAUCGUCCUCCUUGAGCUCACAACCCUCUUGGACGUGGUACUCGCUAGUCAUCUUGCAGACACAUCCACUACCAGCAGCAACGAAUUUCACAUCUUCCACGACCAAGUCAAUCUUGUCAAAUUUUAUAUCACUUUCAAUCAUAGUAUAUUUGCAGUAAAAGCUACCAGCAUCAAGAGCAUCGAUCUUGUGCUUGAUGUACUUGAUGUGGGAGCCUGUUAUGGAAAUUCAUUAAAGCGAAGAAGUUAGUUAUUAAUUGUAAGGUCUAUAUAUAGACUUGACAUGGUAGAAGUAUGAGUAUGAUUUGACUUACUUUCACCGAAGUUGGUUUGCUUGAUGCUACCAACUCCACCAUCUCCCUCGAUGAACUCAAUGCUCUUGAUGCCCUCGGGAACAAUCUUGGGUAGCAUAUUCUGUGAGUCAAGGAACAAAGCCUUGAACAUCCUUGACGGUGCAACAACACUUGUGAUCUCUUGCGAAUAGGUGAUGACGCCCAUGUUGGCCUUGUAAGAGACAAAGAGAACAGAACUCAAGAGGGGGUGGUGGAAAGGUUCGGUGUGAUUGCUAAAGGAGAAGGCUUGAGCUGAUGAAGCUGAUGAAGAUGAUGAAGAGAACUCCUUGGUACUUAUAGCCAAAGUCCAUCGUUUAUUAUUCCGUCAUUCAAGGUCAAAGCUCGCCGAAUUGGACCCAGCCGAAUUGCUUUCCAGCCUUUCUUUUUUUUUCUUAUUGGCCGGAGCCACCGAUCAUCUGGAAGGUCACGAAAAAGGACAAUUCACGGUCAAAGCUCUUUUGUCUGGCCAUUAUAUAAAUUUUCGCAAACGUUGUGGGCCCAUCACGAUAGUCUAUAGACUCUAUACUUGGUAUUCCACUUCUCUAGAAAAAGUAAUUCAAAUGGAAUAUUUUGGACGUAAAGUUAAUCAUCCAUUUUCGUAAAGAAAGCGUAAAAUAAGCGAGUCUAGAUAAAUUAAUCUCUUUCUCACCUCUAAAUUGCCUGCAUAAAAUAUUUGUCAAAAAUUGAAUUUUUUAUACCAUAAACUCAUUCAGACACAAAUUUUAGGCUUAAUAUCAUAUGGCCAUGACCACCUUUGCUAAAGCAUAACUCUAUGUUCGUUGGUUGUGCUACCAAGGACAGAUGCAGAAAUAAGUUUAGGAGCUGAUUCCCUUGGGGAAAGGACAGACUUCUAGCUACGACCAUCAAAUAAAUGUCUAAUUUUUAAUAUAGAUGGUGCAUGAAAAGAUAACAAAUGAGCUAUAGGUAUUUUGCAUGAUCGACUAGUGGCUAAGUAGUCCAACCUUGGACCAAAAAAUAAAAACGUUGGAACUCGUCGAUGGAAGUGUAAGCAGCAGCUCUUAUUCUCGCAUGCAUUUAUGCUCAGUCCCUCGGCAUCAGAAAAGACUGAUUGCGAUGUCUUAAUUAAUGUCUCCCUUUCAUCACAAAUUCUUACUUCCUACUUCAACACAAUACGGGCUGGAGUUAGGCUUGGGCCCAUGAACCUAAUAAUGGAGCUACUCAUGCGCUUCCAAAUUGGGCAUUCAAUCAAAUAGGAGCUACCUUUUCUUUUUUACAAACUCCUAUCUAAGUUAAAAAUAUUAUAUUAGUAGUCUUCUUUGAUUUAUUAUUUUAAUUCGGGUAUCGCAUCCUGAAUGUAAUGAAAAGUUAUUUCUAGGGGGAAAAAAGGGACAUUGGCGGAGCCCUUUUUUAUCCUUUUUAUCAACUAGAUCCGAUUUAUUGUGCUUCUGAUUUGUUUAUUAUUAUUAUUCUGGAUAUUGUGCUUCUGUUUACGAAAGGCCAGUUUUUGCUAGUUUGACUUUAAAUUGCCAUUGUAGCUAAGUCAUAAUAUCGAAAUGACCGUACCCAAAACUCCCUACGGAAAACUUAGGUUAUCUCACAAAGGCACAUGUCCCUAUCAUGACCAUUCUUCCACUUCUUUUAAUAUUUUUCUACCUAUUAUUUUUCUUUUGUGGUAGUUAAAUUUUCUCCCUUUUAUUCAGGAAACAACGGUUGCCUUCCAUGAUUUUCAAAGAAGAACACUAUAGCUUAAUUAAUCCAUGUUAAGUUGUUUAAUUAUGAUUAAUACAAUUAGUGGAAAAUUUUUAUUUCUUAUAAAUCAAAUUGGAUAAAAAAAAAAAAACAGGGUCCCACUGUAUUCUCAUCAAAAGCAGAAUGAUUAUGUAACCAAAUGUUGUAGAUUAUAGAGUCAAAGCGAAUUCUUUGUAAAAAAAUUGCCAAUCUAUCCAAGACUACAUGUUCAUCUUUAGGUGAUGCCACCCAUCUUUGCCUUGAAACGAACUCGAGUAGGAAAUGGAAGGAUCUGGUUUGGUGUGAUAGAAGAAGGCUUUAGCUGAUGAAGAUGAUGAAGAGAAAUCUAUAGUACUUACAACCAUGGCAAGUCCAGAGUUCAGCACUCCAUCAUCAUCAUUCAAAGUACAAAGCACUCCCAAUUGGACCGGGCGACCUACUUUCAAGCCUUUCUUGUUUUCCUUUUGGGAAGAACCAAUCCAGAAGGUUAGGAAAGGACAAAUCACGAUUAAAAGCUCUUUUGUCUGGCCCCGAUUUGCCUGGAUACGAUCUUUCUCGUGAAGAAAAUUGAAUUUUCAUGCUAUGAACUGAUUUAGACACAGAUUUAAGCUUAUAACAGACAACCAUGACCACCAUUGCUAAGAUAUGAUUCUACGUUCGUUCGUUGCGCCAUCAGGGAUGGCCGCAGAGCGCUUUUGCUUUCUUUCCCUUUUCUUUUCGCUUUUGCUCUGUUUCCGAAGGGCAAUUUUGCUAGUUUGACUUUUCAAAUGCCUUUGAUAGCUACGUCCUCGGAUCCAAAUGACCGUACUCUAAAUUUGGAUCAACCCAUCAAAUUUUUUGCUAAGUUCUUUUCUACCUUUUAUUUUAUUUUAUUGUUUCUAGCCAAAUUUUCUCCAUUUUGUUUGGCAGGAUGGAUUUAAUUAGGUAAACAAUCUCAAUGUUUGCUUUCAGGAUUUGCGAAGAAGCAUACUACAGCUUAAUUUAUCAAUUUUAAGUUGCAUAGUUUUGAUGAAUACAAUUAGUGGAAAAAAAAUUAACAAAUCAAAUUGGAUUAAUUCAUUUUUCCCUCAAUCUCUUCUUUUUGCAACUGAUCCAUAAGUCAAGUCAAAAUUCACCUUCAUGACCACAAAGGAAGAUCUUUUCUUGGGUAAAACCCAUAAUUUAUUGGAUUGUUCAUUGCUCCUUCAAUUUUUUUGGCAUGGCCUUACACACAACCAUCAAAUCCCUUUACACUGUAGAAAUCACACAAUAAAACCUUUUCACCCAAAGGCUCCAAGGCAGAGCCAAUGUGAAAACAAAAGAUACAAUAGAGACAUUUCACUCGCUUUGCUAUAUCAUAAUUCAAAACGGAUCUUCAACAUAGCAUUUAGGCACAAACAUCGGGAUUGGCCACAAGGUACUCCUCAAUAGCCUUGUACAAUCCCAUAGCUCUAUCUUUACCCUUCUUGAUAUCCUCCUCCUUGAGCUCACAACCCUCUUGGACGUGGUACUCGCUGGUCAUCUUGCAGACACAUCCACUUCCAGCCGCAACGAAUUUCACAUCUUCCACGACCAAGUCAAUCUUGUCAAAUUUUAUAUCACUUUCAAUCAUAGUAUAUUUGCAGUAAAAGCUGCUAGCGUCAAGAGCAUCGAUCUUGUGCUUGAUGUACUUGAUGUGGGAGCCUGUUAUGCAAAUUCAUUAAAGCGAAGAAGUUAGUUAUUAAUUCUAAGGUCUAUAUAUAGACUUGACAUCGUAGAAGUAUGAGAAUGAUCUAACUUACUUUCACCGAAGUUGGUUUGCUUGAUGCUACCAACUCCACCAUCUCCCUCAAUGAACUCAAUGCUCUUGAUGCCCUCGGGAACAAUCUUGGGCAGCAUAUUCUGUGAGUCAAGGAACAAAGCCUUGAACAUCCUUGACGGUGCAACGACACUUGUGAUCUCUUGCGAAUAGGUGAUGACACCCAUGUUGGCCUUGUAAGAGAUAAAGAGAACUGAACUCAAGACGGGGUGGUGGAAAGGUUCGGUGUGAUUGCUAAAGGAGAAGGCUUGAGCUGAUGAAGAUGAUGAAGCGAACUCCUCGGUACUUGUAGGCAACGUCCAUCGUUUAUUAUUCCAUCAUUCAAGGUCAAAGCACGCCGAAUUGGACCCAGCCAAAUUGCUUUCCAGCCUUUCUUUCUUUUUUUCUUAUUGGCUGGAGCCACCGAUCACGUGGAUGGUUAGGAAAAAGGACAAAUCACGGUCAAAGCUCUUUUGUCUGGCCAUUAUUAUAAAAUUUUCGCGGACAUUGUAGGCCCAUCACGAUACUCUAUACUUGGUAUUCCACCUCUCUAGAAAAAAUAAUUCAAAUAGAAUAUUUUGGUCAUAAUGUUAAAUCAUCCAUUUUCGUCGGAGCGAAAGCGUAAAAUAGAUGAGUCUAUAUAAGUUAGUCUCUUUCUUAGCUCCAAAUUGCCUGGAUAUAAUAUUUGUCAAAAAAAAAUAUCAAAUUUUUUAUAUCAUGAACUCAUUCAAACACAAAUUUUAAGCUUAAUAUCAUAUGGCCAUGACCACCUUUGCUAAGGCAUUACUCUAUGUUCGUUGGUUGAGCUAUCAAGGACUGACGCAGAAUUAAGUUGAGGAGCUGAUUCCCUUGGGGAAAGGACAGACUUCUGGCUGCGACUAUCAAAUAAAUGUCCAAUUUUUAAUGUAGAUGGUGUAUGAAAGGAUAACAAAUGAGCUAUGGGUAUUUUGCAUGAUCGACAAGUGGCUAAGUAGUCCAACCUUCGACAAAAAGAAAAAGAAAAAGAAACAUUGGAACUCGUUGAUGGAAGUGUAAGCAGCAGCUCUUAUUCUCGCAUGCAUUUAUGCUCAGUCCCUCGGCAUCAGAAAAGACUGAUUGCAAUGUCUUAAUUAAUGUCUCCCUUUCAUCGCAAAUUCUUACUUCCUACUUCAACACAAUAUGGGUUGGAGUUAGGCUUGGACCAUGAACCUAAUAAUGGAGCUACUCAUGCGCUUCCAAAUUGGGCAUUCAAUCAAAUAGGAGCUACCUUUUCUCUUUUACAAACUCCUAUCUAAGUUAAAAAUAUUAUAUUAGUAUUCUUCUUUAAUUUAUUAUUCUAAUGCGGGUAUCACAUCUUGAAUGUAAUGAAAAGUUAUUUCUAGGGGGAAAAAAGGGACAUUGGCGGAGCUUUUUUUUUUUUUUAUCAAAGUGGAUCCGAUUUAUUGUGCUUCUGAUUUGUUUAUUAUUAUUAUUCUGGAUAUUGUGCUUCUGUUUAUAAAAGGCCAGUUUGCUAGUUUGAUUUCAAUUGCCAUUGUAGCUAAGUUAUGGAAUCGAAAUGACCGUACCCAAAACUCCGUACCCAAAACUUAGGUUACCUCACAGAGGCAAAUGUCCCUAUCAUGACCGUUCUUCUACUUCUUUUAAUUUUUUUCUACCUGUUAUUUUUCUUUUGUGGUAGUUAAAUUUUCUCCCUUUUAUUUGGGAAACAUUGCUUGCCUUCCGUGAUUUUCAAAGAAGAACACUAUAGCUUAAUUAAUCCAUGUUAAGUUUUUUAACUAUGAUUAAUACAGUUAGUGGAAAAAAUUUAUUUCUUAUAACUCAAAUUGGAUAAAAAAAUACAGAGUCCCAAUGUAUUCUCAUCAAAAGCAAAAUGAUUCACUACCACUUCUUUUAUUUUCUAGAUUGCCAGAUUAUACCAUCAUUGUCCCAUUAAAUUGCAUUUCUUUUCAUCCGAUGACAAUCUUUCUCAAUUAGGGAAUGUAUAAUGAAAUGCGCAUCCUUUUGCCCUCUAUCUCUGCUUUAUGCAACUCAUCUAGAAGUCAAGUGAAAAUUCACCUUCAUGAUUACAAAGGGAGCUAUUUGAAAAAAAGUCAUGGACAUUUUCCUUUUAUAAAAUUAGAUAGAGUCAACUGAGAGACCUAAUUGUACCGAUUUGAUGAAUUUAAUAUUUGAUUGCCUUUUAAUAGGUUUUUUAAUUCAAUUGUAUUUUCUGAUCAAAAGAAAAAGUGAGAUAGAUGUGUUUAGGGAAAAUUUGGGCAUUUCAAUACACAUUUCUUUAUUAGAACCAUCUUGCCAAAUAAAAUGGAUAAAUUUGGCCAAAUAAAAAUAAAAUAAAUUGGAGAAAAUUUGACUGGCCAAAGUAAGGUAGCAGCCUGCCAGGCAGUUAUCUAAUGGUGAUCUUUGUUUUGCCGAUAAGUCUCCAUCUAAGAAAAAAUAAAAAUAAAAAUAAAAAGUAGAAAAGAACUUAGCAGAAUGUUACAAAAGAAAAACAACGUCGCCCAAGAGAGAGUUUGGGUGCGUUUGUCUUUGUGGAUUAGAAAGAGAGAACUCUGUGGAUGAGAGAGAAAGAGAACUGCCUCUUGCUUGGAAACUUUCAUGUGUGAAGGGAAAUUUUUAUGGACUUUGACUCUCACGCCAUGAGACCGCGAUGCUAGCACUAUUCUAAUCAAAGUAUAGACGACAGUCAUUUGGAUUCAAUGACGUGGCUAUAAUGGCCUUUGAAAAGUCAAACUAGCAAACUUGCCUUUCGAGAAUGGAAGGACGAUAUAUCUGAUAUCAAGCGUAAAAUUCAUGUCAACAUCAGUUUUAAUUAUUUUUUUUAAAUCAACUUUUUCUUUGCGGAAAGGACCUUGUCUAAUCAAAUCGGACCAAAAAGGGACUAACUCAUCUAAACUCGUCCAUUUCAUGUUAUGAUUCUGGUGGAGUCAGAGCUUCAUAAUUAGGCUCACCAGCUCUGCAAUCACCUCUCGUACACAGAUUAGUUUAUAAAAGAAAAGUACAUUUAUUACAUACAUUGAUGUCAAAGAUUGACAAUCCGCAAUCGUUUUUCUCAUUUUCUUACUAAUCCAUAAAAUCCACUUUUUAUUAACGAAGAGAAAAAGAAUUUCAUUUUUGAUAAAAUGACUUUUUUAAAAUUAAGUUAUUCCACAAGAAGAAAAUAAAGGGUCGUUAAAUUUCAAGUUUAUAGUUUCACAACAAAAAUUAGAAGAUUGACUUCACAUUUGGAAUUGCACAAACAAAAAGUUAUUUAUCUUAAAGAGGUGAUAAAUAAGAAGACACAAAUAAUGAUAAAUAAAAACUAAGAUGUGAACAAAGCAAGAUUUUACGGGCCAAAAAUAAAAAAGAAGCGAGAUUUGAAAGAAAGUAAAAGAGCAAUAAAAGGUCAAUUCCAAUAAUCCAGCAGUUGUAUAUAAUAAUUUUCUUUCGGUUUGAUAAUGAUAUCCACGUUCCACUCUUCUAGAUGACGGACAGCGCCGCUGAAUAAGAAAAGAAGAAAGGCUUAAAUCAAGGCCGACUAGUCUAACUCGGUGUGCUUUGAACUUUGGAAGGUGAUGGGAUACUAACCAAUGACUUGCUUAUAAGUACCAAGUAGUUCUCUUCAUCAUCUUCAUCAGCUCGAGCCCUCUCCAUUAGCAAUCACGCCAAACCCUUCCACUACCCCUCUUUAGUUCAGUUCUCUUUGUUUCUCACAAGGCAAACAUGGGAAUCGUCACCUACUCGAUGGAGAUCACAAGUGCUGUCGCACCGUUGAGGAUGUUCAAGGCUUUAUUCCUUGAGUCCCACGAUAUCCUACCGAAGAUUGUUCCCGAGGGCAUCAAAAGCAUUGAGUUCAUUGAGGGAGAUGGCGGAGUUGGUAGCAUCAAGAAAACCAACUUCGGUGAAAGUAAGUCGGAUCAUACUUGUACUUCUAUCAUGUGAAGUCUAUAUAUAAACCUCAAGAUUAAGGAUUAAUUUCUUUGCUUUAAUGAAUUUACACAAUAGGCUCACACAUCAAGUACACGAAGCACAAGAUCGAGGCUCUCGAUGCAGAUAGCUUUUACUGCAAAUAUACUAUGAUCGAAAGUGAUAUCAAGUUUGACAAGAUCGACUUUGUCACGGAAGAAGUGAAAUUCAUCGCGGCUAGUAGUGGAUGUGUUUGUAAGAUGACCAGCGAGUACCACAUUCAGGAAGGUUGUGAGCUGAAGGAGGAGGACAUCAAGAAGGGAAAAGACAGAGCUAUGGGAUUGUACAAGACUGUUGAGGAGUACCUUGUGGCCAACCCUAAUGUUUGCGCCUAAAUGCUUUUUUCAAGAUCCUUUUUGAGUUAUGAUAUAGCAAAGUGAGUGGAAAGUUUGUAUUGUAUCUUCUGUUUCCCCUUUGGUUGUGCCUCGGAGCUUUUGGGUGAGGAAAGUUUAUAAUGGGAUUUUUAUGUUAUAAAGGGUUUGAUGGUUGUGUGUAAGGCCACGCCAAAAAUAAAACUUGAAGGAGCAAUGAGCAAUCCAAUAAAUUAUGGAUUUUGCCCAAGAAGAGAUCUCCCUUUAUGGCCAUGAAGGUGAAUUUUCACUAGCCUCAUAGAUGAGUUGCAUAAAGAAGAGAUAAGAGGGCAAAAAGAAGUGCAAGGGAAAAUUGGGCAUUUCAUUAUCCAUUUCCUAAGCUUUAUAGAUUGUCAUCAGGUGAAAAGAAAUGGAAUUUAAUGGGACAAUAAAAAAAAAAUAUCCAUUUCCACAUCUCGCCUAGAUCCAGUCAUUUCGAUUUGAUGAAAAUAAAUGCAUUUCCUAAGCGAGAGCAUUUCAUUAGAGUAUAGUCAUUUCGUUUCAAUGACUUAGCUAUAGUGGCCUUUGAAAUGUGAAACUAGGAAAAUUGUCUUUCGAAACAGAAGUACAUUAAAAAGGAUCCACUUUGAAUUUUUUUUUUAAUAAAAAAUAGUGCAUUGAAAGUCCUUAAACUUGUCAUUGAAGUGCAACUAAGUUUUAAUACUUUUAAAAAGUAUAAUUACGUCCUAAAAUUUAUCAAAUUAGUCCAAUCAAAUCUCUCCGUUGAUUACAUUUUUGAAAGUUUUAGGGAUUGAUUACAUUUUUGUAAUAAAUUUUAGAAUUUGAUUACACAUUUUGAAAGUUUUACGACUUGACUAUACUUUUAUUAUAAGUGUUAUGAUUUAAUUGCACUUUUUGAAAGUUUUAAGACUCAAAAUAUACUUUGGUGACAAGUUUUAGGACUUUCAAUAAAUUUAUCUCUAAAAAAAUAGCGCUCCUCUAUUGUCUUUUUUUUUUUUUUUUCCCUAGAUGCAAAACCUACAUUAUUAGGUUUAACGGUUGAAGCCUAACUCCAACCCGGAUUGUGUUAAAAUAGGAAGCAGGAAUCUAUGAUGAAAGGUCAAAUACUCUGAGGGCAAAGAACUUUUUGUUGGAUUACAUCAAUUAAGACAUUACAAUCGGUUUUAAACAUUUCUUUUUAGAUGCCAAGAGACUGAGCAUAAUUGCAGGCAAGAAGAAGAGUAGCUGCUCACACCUCCCCUUCCAACGCUCUCUUCAUGUCCCAGCUUUGACUACUAAGCCGCUAGCUGAUCAUGUAAUAAUACCUGCGGCUCCUUUGUUAUCUUUUCAUGCACCAUCUUCAUUAAAUUUUAGCCCCUGAUCUGACGGUGAGAGCGAGGAAUCUGUCAUCUUCCCAACAGAAUCGGCUCCUAAACUUCUUUCUGCAGCUGUCCUCGACAGCGCAACGAAUGAACAUAGAAUUAUGCCUUAGUAAAGGUGGUCAUGGCUGUCUGAUAUCAAGUCUAAAAUCCGUGCCUGAAUGAGUUCAUGAUAUAAAAAAAUUCAAUUUUUUUUCAAUAAAGAUUGUAUUAAGGCAAUUCGGAGCUGAAUAAAGGGAUUAACUUAUCUAGACUUGCCUAUUUUACUUUUUUGUUCUGAUAACGGAUAAUUCACAUUAUGACCAAAAUAUUUGAUUUGAAUUACUUUUUCUAGAGAGGUGGCAUACUCGGUAUGGAAUAUGGAAUAUUGUAUUGGGCUCACAGUGUCUGCAAAUGAAUGUGUAAUUUUUUAUUAAUUGUAACAAAUUUAUAAUAAUGGCCAGACAAAAGAGCUUUGAUCGAGAUUUGCCUUUUUCUUCACCUUCCAGAUAAUUGGUGGCUCCUCCCGAUAAGAAAACAAGAAAGGCUGGAAAGUAAUUCGGCUCAGUCCAAUUCGGAGUGAUCGGAACUUUGAUUGAUGAUGGAGUACUAAGCCUUGGACUUUGCUAAGUGCCAAGUAGUUCUCUUCCUUGUCUUCAUCAGCUCAAGGCUUCUCCAUUAGCAAUCAUACCAAACCCUUCCACCACCGUUCUUAAGUUCCGUUCUCUUUGUCACCUACUCGAUGGAGAUCACAAGUGCCGUCACACCGUCGAGGAUGUUCAAGGCUUUAGUCCUUGACUCCCACAACAUCCUACCCAAGAUUGCUCCCGAGGGCAUCAAAAGUGUGGAGUUCAUCGAGGGAGAAGGCAGAGUUGGUAGCAUCGAGCAAACCAACUUUGGUGAAAGUAAGUUAGAUCAUGCUCAUACUUCUACCGUAGCAAGUCUAUAUAUAGACCUCAGAAUUAUGAAUUAACUUAUUCAUUUUGAUGAAUUAACAUAAUAGGCUCCCACAUCAAGUACAUGAAACACAAGAUAGAGGCUCUCAAGGCAGGUAGCUUUUACUGCAAAUAUACUAUGAUCGAAAGCGAUAUCAAGUUCGACAAGAUUGACUUCAUUGUGGAAUAAGUGAAAUUUGUCGCAACAAAUAGCAGAUACGUUUGUAAGAGGACCAGCGAGUACCACAUUCAGGAAGGUUGUGAGCUAAAGGAGGAGGAUAUCAAGAAAGGUAAAGACAAAGUUAUGGGAUUGUACAAGGCUGUUGAGGAAUACCUCAUGGCCAACCCUGAUGUUUGCGCCCAAAUGCUUUUCUCAAGAUCCUUUUGGAGUUAAGACAAAGUAAAGUGAGUGGAAAGUUUGUAGUGAAUUUUUUGUUUCCCCUUCGUGGCUCUGCCUUGGAGCCUUUGGGUGAGAAAAGGUUUUUAUGGUGUGAUUUCUAUGUUAUAAAGGGUCGGAUGUUUGUGUGUAAGGCCAUGCAAAAAAUUAGAACUUGAAGGAGGAAUGAGCAAUCCAAUAAAUUAUGGAUUUUGCCCAAGCAAUCCACUUCCAGCCGCAACGAAUUUCACAUCUUCCACGACCAAGUCAAUCUUGUCAAAUUUGAUAUCACUUUCAAUCAUAAUAUAUUUGCAGUAAAAGCUGCCAGCGUCAAGAGCAUCGAUCUUGUGCUUGAUGUACUUGAUGUGGGAGCUUGUUAUGCAAAUUCAUUAAAGCGAAGAAGUUAGUUAUUAAUUCUAAGGUCUAUAUAUAGACUUGACAUGGUAGAAGUAUGAGUAUGAUCUGACUUACUGAAGUUGGUUUGCUUGAUGCUACCAACUCCACCAUCUCCCUCGAUGAACUCAAUGCUCUUGAUGCCCUCGGGAACAAUCUUGGGUAGCAUAUUCUGUGAGUCAAGGAACAAAACCUGAACAUCUUGACGGUGCAACGACACUUGUGAUCUUUUGCGAAUAGGUGAUGACACCCAUGUUGGCCUUGUAAGAGAUAAAGAGAACUGAACUCAAGAGGGGGUGGUGGAAGGGUUUGGUGUGAUUGCUAAAGGAGAAGGCUUGAGCUGAUAAAGAUGAUGAAGAGAACUCCUCGGUACUUAUAGGCGAAGUCCAUUGUUUAGUAUUCCAUCAUUCAAGGUCAAAGCACGCCGAAUUGGACCCAGCCGAAUUGCUUUCCAGCCUUUCUAUUUUUCUUAUUGGCUGGAGCCACCGAUCACGGGGAAGGUUAGGCUAAAGGACAAAUCACGGUCAAAGCUCUUUUGUCUGGCCAUUAUUAUAAUUUUUCGCAGACAUUAUGGGCCCAUCACGAGACUCUAUUCCACCUCUCUAGAAAAAGUAAUUCAAAUAGAUAUUUGUCAUAUGUAAUCAUCCGUUUUCAUCAGAGCAAAAGCGUAAAAUAGAUGAGUCUAGAUAAGUUAAUCUCUUUCUCAGCUCCAAAUUGUCUGGAUAUAAUCUUUGUCAAAAAAUAAAAAAUUAAAUAACGAGGGAAGGAAAAAAGUAUACGGAACGAGAAGUGAAGGCGGGGGCAGGUUUUUCCUCCCUCUGGAAAGUUUUUCGCUUUUCUUUUUCCCUUCUCUCUCGUCAUAGGCAAAUUCCUGCCGGUAAGAAUGUGGAGAAGAACAGACAGGCUCAAAGACCGGAAUAAGGACAUCCACUCGCCCUAAACAAAUGAAUAAGGUUGGAGAGGGCUUUCGCUCUCGACCGCGGGCCUCCCCUGGAAAGAUCCAAACCUUCCUCUUCGGAGCGGAAACGGACGUGGCCAAAACAUAUAAAGAUCGGCGUAGUCGCUCUUAAUGUUGAAUCUUCCACCCCUGAACGGUGAACAAACCAAUCUACUUCUUCCGGAUCACCCUCGGAUCGCUCACUCCAUACGAUCUAAUCGUGAACUCAUUCAUACACAAAUUUUAAACUUAAUACCAAACAGCCAUAACCACAUUUGUUAAGGCAUAAUUCUAUGUUCGUUGGUUGAGCUAUCAAGGACAGACGCAGAAAUAAGUUGAGGCGCUAAUUCCCUUGGGGAAAGGACAGACUUCUGGCUGUGACCGUCAAAUAAAUGUCCAAUUUUUAACUUAGAUGGUGCAUGAAAGGAUAACAAAUAAGCUAUGGGUAUUUUGCAUGAUUGACUAGUGGCUAAGUAGUCCAACAUUGGACAAAAAAAAAAAGAAUGUUGGAACUCGUUGAUGGAAGUGCAAGCAGCAGCUCUUAUUCUCGCAUGCAUUUAUGCUCAGUCCCUCGGCAUCAGAAAAGACUGAUUGCGAUGUCUUAAUUAAUGUCUCCAUUUCAUCGCAAAUUCUUAGGCAGAAGAACAGUCCAAGUGCCAUAACUUGGUAUGGGAGGACACUUAAGUGCCAUAACUUCAAAAUGGUAUACUUGAGUGCCAGUUUCGAAGUUAAAUGGAACACUUAAGUACCACUCCGGCGAAAAUCCGGCCAAAUGACUGACGUGGCAAUUUUCCGGCGAGUUUGGUCCAAAAUGACGUUAUUUUGCACGCUGGUGUGGCGAGAAAAUGCAAAAACAGCACUGUUUCGUGUUUGACAUGUAAAUAAUAAUAUAAAAACUAAUAAAUUAGAUUUAAACUUAAUUUUAUUUAAAAUAUUCUAAAAAUAAAAAAAGGGGUGGGGGGGAGGGAGGUCGAAGGGGGCGGCUGAGGGCUAAUCCCUCGCCNNNNNNNNNNNNNNNNNNNNNNNNNNNNNNNNNNNNNNNNNNNNNNNNNNNNNNNNNNNNNNNNNNNNNNNNNNNNNNNNNNNNNNNNNNNNNNNNNNNNNNNNNNNNNNNNNNNNNNNNNNNNNNNNNNNNNNNNNNNNNNNNNNNNNNNNNNNNNNNNNNNNNNNNNNNNNNNNNNNNNNNNNNNNNNNNNNNNNNNNNNNNNNNNNNNNNNNNNNNNNNNNNNNNNNNNNNNNNNNNNNNNNNNNNNNNNNNNNNNNNNNNNNNNNNNNNNNNNNNNNNNNNNNNNNNNNNNNNNNNNNNNNNNNNNNNNNNNNNNNNNNNNNNNNNNNNNNNNNNNNNNNNNNNNNNNNNNNNNNNNNNNNNNNNNNNNNNNNNNNNNNNNNNNNNNNNNNNNNNNNNNNNNNNNNNNNNNNNNNNNNNNNNNNNNNNNNNNNNNNNNNNNNNNNNNNNNNNNNNNNNNNNNNNNNNNNNNNNNNNNNNNNNNNNNNNNNNNNNNNNNNNNNNNNNNNNNNNNNNNNNNNNNNNNNNNNNNNNNNNNNNNNNNNNNNNNNNNNNNNNNNNNNNNNNNNNNNNNNNNNNNNNNNNNNNNNNNNNNNNNNNNNNNNNNNNNNNNNNNNNNNNNNNNNNNNNNNNNNNNNNNNNNNNNNNNNNNNNNNNNNNNNNNNNNNNNNNNNNNNNNNNNNNNNNNNNNNNNNNNNNNNNNNNNNNNNNNNNNNNNNNNNNNNNNNNNNNNNNNNNNNNNNNNNNNNNNNNNNNNNNNNNNNNNNNNNNNNNNNNNNNNNNNNNNNNNNNNNNNNNNNNNNNNNNNNNNNNNNNNNNNNNNNNNNNNNNNNNNNNNNNNNNNNNNNNNNNNNNNNNNNNNNNNNNNNNNNNNNNNNNNNNNNNNNNNNNNNNNNNNNNNNNNNNNNNNNNNNNNNNNNNNNNNNNNNNNNNNNNNNNNNNNNNNNNNNNNNNNNNNNNNNNNNNNNNNNNNNNNNNNNNNNNNNNNNNNNNNNNNNNNNNNNNNNNNNNNNNNNNNNNNNNNNNNNNNNNNNNNNNNNNNNNNNNNNNNNNNNNNNNNNNNNNNNNNNNNNNNNNNNNNNNNNNNNNNNNNNNNNNNNNNNNNNNNNNNNNNNNNNNNNNNNNNNNNNNNNNNNNNNNNNNNNNNNNNNNNNNNNNNNNNNNNNNNNNNNNNNNNNNNNNNNNNNNNNNNNNNNNNNNNNNNNNNNNNNNNNNNNNNNNNNNNNNNNNNNNNNNNNNNNNNNNNNNNNNNNNNNNNNNNNNNNNNNNNNNNNNNNNNNNNNNNNNNNNNNNNNNNNNNNNNNNNNNNNNNNNNNNNNNNNNNNNNNNNNNNNNNNNNNNNNNNNNNNNNNNNNNNNNNNNNNNNNNNNNNNNNNNNNNNNNNNNNNNNNNNNNNNNNNNNNNNNNNNNNNNNNNNNNNNNNNNNNNNNNNNNNNNNNNNNNNNNNNNNNNNNNNNNNNNNNNNNNNNNNNNNNNNNNNNNNNNNNNNNNNNNNNNNNNNNNNNNNNNNNNNNNNNNNNNNNNNNNNNNNNNNNNNNNNNNNNNNNNNNNNNNNNNNNNNNNNNNNNNNNNNNNNNNNNNNNNNNNNNNNNNNNNNNNNNNNNNNNNNNNNNNNNNNNNNNNNNNNNNNNNNNNNNNNNNNNNNNNNNNNNNNNNNNNNNNNNNNNNNNNNNNNNNNACGUUCGCUGAUAGAGACCGCCGCCGGUCGGCCGAGGGUCGGUGACCCCAACGAACCCUCCCCUCUCUGUCGCCGGCCCUUCCCAGCGAGGGGUCAGCCCUCAGCCGCCCCCUUCGAUCUCCCCUCUUUUUUUUUUCUUAAAUUUUUUUAAUUUUUAGAAUAUUUUAAAUAAAAUUAAGUUUAAAUCUAAUUUAAUUAGUUUUUAUAUUAUUAUUUACACAUUAAACACGAAACGGCAUCAUUUUUGUAUUUUAUCGCCAGGUCAGCGUGCAAAACGACGUCAUUUUGCACUAAACUUGCUGGAAAAUUGCCACGCCAGUCAUUUGACCAGGUUUUCGCCGAAGUGGCACUUUAAGUGUUCCAUUUAACUUCGAAACUGGCACUCAAGUGUACUAUUUUAAAGUUAUGGCACUUAAAUAUCCUCCCGUGCCAAGUUAUGGCACUCCAAGUGUCCCAAACUCCAAAUUCUUACUUCCUACUUCAACACAAUACGAGUUGGAGUAAGGCUUGGGCACAUGAACCUAAUAAUGGAGCUACUCAUGCGCUUCCAAAUCGGGCAUUCAAUCAAAUAGGUGCUACCUUUUCUUUUUUACAAACUCCUAUCUAAGUUAAAAAUAUUAUAUUAGUAGUCUUCUUUAAUUUAUUAUUCUAAUGCAGGUAUCGCAUCCUGAAUGUAAUGAAAAGUUAUUUCUUGGGGGAGAAAAGGGACAUUGGCGGAGCGCUUUUCUAUUUUUUUUUUUUUUUUUUAUCAAAGUGGAUCCUAUUUAUUGUGCUUCUGAGUUGUUUAUUAUUAUUAUUCUGGAUAUUGUGCUUCUGUUUACAAAAGGCCAGUUUGCUAGUUUGACUUUUCAAUUGCCACUCUAGCUAAGUCAUGGAAUCGAAAUGACCGUACCGAAAACUUAGGUUACCUCACAUAGGCAAAUGUCCCUAUCAUGAACGUUCUUCUACAUCUUUUAAAUUUUUUCUACCUGUUAUUUUUCUUUUGUGGUAGUUAAAUUUUCUCCCUUUUAUUUGGGAAACAAUGCUUGCCUUCCAUGAUUUUCAAAGAAGAACACUAUAGCUUAAUUAAUCCAUGUUAAGUUGUUCAAUUAUGAUUAAUACAGUUAAUGGAAAAUUUUUAUUUCUUAUAAAUCAAAUUGGAUAAAAAAAAUACAGAGUCCCAGUGUAUUCUCAUCAAAAGCAAAAUGAUUCACUACCACUUCUUUUAUUUUCUGGAUUGCUAGAUUAUACCAUCAUUGUCCCAUUAAAUUGCAUUUCUUUUCAUCUGACGACAAUCUAUCUUAGUUUGCGAAUGUAUAAUGAAAUGCGCAUCCUUUUGCCCUCUAUCUCUGCUUUAUGCAACUCAUCUAGAAGUCAAGUGAAAAUUCACCUUCAUGAUUACAAAGGGAGCUAUUUUCUUGGGCAAAAUCCAUAAUUUAUUGGAUUGCUCAUUCCUCCUUCAAGUUCUAUUUUUACGCAUGGCCUUACACACAACCAUCAAACCCCUAUAAACAUAGAAAUCACACCAUAAAAACCUUUCCUCACCCAAAGGCUCCGAGGCAGAGCCACAAAGGGGAAACAAAAGAUUCACUACGAGCUUUCCACUCACUUUACUUUGUCUUAACUCCAAAAGGAUCUCGAGAAAAGCAUUUAGAUGCAAACAUCAAAGUUGGCCACGAGGUACUCCUCAAUAGAGGUGUUAAAAUGGGUCUAAAAUGGGUUAUAAAAGGGUCACUUGUUUUUGACAAAAAGUAGUUAAAUGGGUUUCACAAUUAAAGGUUCAAGAUAGGUGGGUCUUAAGUGGGUUUUAAAUAGGUUGGGUGGAGAACCCAUUUUCAACAAAAACCUUAUAAUCUCUCUCUUCCCUCUUUAACUUUAUAAAAAUAUAUAUUUUUUUUGUAAAAAUCGAAAUUAUAGUUUUUUUUUAAAUUUUCUCUUUUCUUUUUCUUUCCUUUUUUUUUCUUUUUUUUUUCUUUCUCCUUCUUCCUUUCGAUCGCCGGCACGGCGAUGGCCGGCGACCGGCCAGGUGAGCCUCGAGCUCGCCGAAUCUGGCGAGGCGGAGGCCUUGCCGAUGCCCUGCGAGGCUCAAGCCUCGCCGAUCUAGUGAGAUUCGAGCUCGACAGUGUUAGGCGAGGCUCGAGCCUCGAUAGUUCUGGUGAGGGGCGAGCUUGAGCUCACUCAACACCGGUGAGGCUCAAGGCUCACCGUCGCUGGGCGAGCUCGAGCUCGCCAGAUCCGGCGAGCCUCAAGGCUUGCCGAUGCCAGGCGAGCUCAAGCUUGCUAGAUCCGACGAGCCUCGAGGCUCGCCUGUGGCUGAUCGCCAGUUGUCGUUGUGGCCGGCAGCCGGCCAAAGAAGAAGAAGAAGGAGAAGAAAGAAGAAAAGAAAAAAAAAGUAUAUUUAAAAAAUAAAAUAAAAUUAAUUAUAAAAUUAAUUUUUAAAAAAUAAAAAAAUAAUUAAAAUUCAAAUUUUUAAAAUAAUUAUUUUAAAAAUUAUAAAAAUUUUCCUUUAAAUUUGUGUUGUAUAAAACUAUUUUCGUAAUAUAAUUUUAAAAAUUGUCCAUUGAGAAAUAAGUUUGGAAGUAUUUUAGUAAUAUAAUCUUUAAAAAAAACAUAGAAAUAAGUUUUUCUAAAUUUGGUUAAAUAUGAAAAUAUUUUAUUAAUAUGGGUUAGGUCGGGUAUGGGUUGGGUCGGAUAUGGGUUAGAAAUUUUACAUUAUGCAUAAAUGGGUCAUAAAUGAGUUAAUGGGUCAAUUUGGGUUGGACCAUUAAUGAUCCGACCCAAACCCGACCCAACUCACCCGUUUAACGGCUCUAACCAUGAUGGCUCGACCGAGAUUUGGAGGAGGAGUUGCUCGGCCAUGGCUCGGUCGAGAUUUAGAGAAGGUUUAGCGCUCAGCUUUUCUGAAGCUUAAUGAUGAUUGGAGGAGGGAGUCACCGAGAUCUAAAGGUUGGCCAGGUCUAUUGUGGCCAUGGCUUCAUGGUUCCAAAUCUAGAUGCGGCCAAGUGAUCUUGGAAGGGGCGGAGAUGGUGGUCGGACGGGUGUUCUCUGUCAGGGAGGAAGAUGAAGAGAGAAAAAAAGAUUUUUAUUUUUUUAAUUCCACCUCAUCCAACACGUGUCAAUCUAUUAUUAUUAUUAUUAUUAUUAUUAUUAUUAUUAUUAUUAUUAUUAUUAUUAUUAUUAUUAUUAUUAUUAUUAUUUGUCAGUUCUACUCUAUGCCUACUCUACACUCACUCUCAGACUUUUGUCCUGCCUUUUGCAGAGCAUGGGAGUCGAAACUCACUCCUGAAACUUACUCAUCCCCACCCUAUCCUCCUGAGAAUGUGAGAAUUUGAACCCCUCACCUCCCAUUUUUUUGUUGGAAUGGUGGCCACUGGAGCGAAUCCCAGUGGUUGUCGAUCUAUUAUUGGAUAUAAAUAAAAAACGCGCACCACAUCAGCAAUUGACUUGGCGCUUUGGAACCACCGAAUAUUUUCUCCAACUCAAGGCUAUGUUUUUCCUCAUCCUUUUUUUUCGGUUUAAGGAGUGGUUGGUCCCACCGAGCCCGGGCCCACAAAGCCCAAGUUGGAUCCAGCCACUGUCCAGUGUCCACUCCCAUCUCCAAAAAAGCUCCUCAUAAUUGCGAUUAGCUCACUCGAAAUGACUAUAUUACCCCUGCAUGAAGUUUGCACUGCUCUCACGAUAGGGCAGGACUUUUCAGUAAAUUCCCCCUCUAUCUAGUCAUCUCUCUCUCCAUUCCUUCCUUCUUCGAGCUUCGAGCCUCCACCAGUUCGGAGCUACAUUCCUUCCUUCGCCUCCGAGAAUCGAACCUCCAUCUCUUCGCUCGCCGGCAAGCCGCAUUCCGGACCUCAGGCUCGUCGCUCGAGUCCAUCUCCGGCGGUGGGCGCCGGUGCCAGUGACCGAUGGAGACGGGGACGAUGGCGACCGCGGCGGGGGCGGCGGUGCUCCUGUGCUAUGUCAUCAAGAGGACGCUGGCCUCGAAGGGCAAGGACGACGCCGGGGACCGGGCCGCCAGGUGUUAGGGAAAUCCCUUAUGAUGUUUUGAAGAUGACAAAAUAAAUCAAAGGCUACUAACAUAUUUGAUGGUUGAGUAAUAGACCAUGCAGAUGUUAGAACAUGUAGAGGAUAUUAUCAAAGUCAUAAGAUGACCAGAAGACUGAACGUAACAUGUCCAAAAUAUAUUCUGAAGAUUUCCAGACUUCUAUGUCAAAGUCUGAAGACUGCCAGACUCAAGACUCAAAGUCUGAAGACUGCCAGACUCAAGACUCAAAGUCUGAAGACUGCUAGACUUUAGUGUCAAAGUCUGUUCUACAUUAGAAGUCUGCUCACUCUGAUAAAUUCCAGACUGAACGUGAAAGCUGAACCAGAAGACAGACUCUAUGCUGAAGCUGAACUGGGUACAGACCCAGAUUGUAAAGUCUAGAGACUCAGAUUGUAAAGUCUAGAGACUCAUAUUGUAAAGUCUACAGACUCAGACUUUACAUCCAGAUUCGAUGAAUCGUAACUCAAGCCCAAUCAUACAACGGCUAGUGAUCUGGUUUGGAUUCCACAUCAAGAUUAAUUUGAUUGAUUCAAUCUAAUUGAUUGACGAUUGGAUCUUGAAGACAAGAACUUUCUACACGAAGAAGCUUUACUUAUGGAAACCAAGAUUUCGUUUGUAUGGGCGAUCGGAAUCAAUUUGGGAUUUUACCUUUGUCACUCAACGGCUACCAAAUCUUCUUAGAUACAGAGCUGUUCAAUGGGUAUAUUGGAAGACGAUUCUCCGGGAUACUGUCCAACGAGUAGUUUGGAAGUGGAGGAGUAUUUAAGGAGAUCAUGGACCGAUGAGCAAGUAAGAGACGGAGCGUAGAAUUUAUAAUUCCAAAGUCUGAGCGACUUUUGAUCAUAUACUUGUCUCUUGAGAGCUUAAACGUUUGUAAUCGUGAGAGAAAUACCAAGAGAGUGACUUAGUGAGAUAGUGUGAUCUACUAAGUGUUUGCACUCGAAGUUGUAAUCUCUUGUUGAUUGCAUAUUGGAAUCCAGCCAAGAAGGCUGUUAUCGUGGGAGAGUGGACGUAGGCUUGGAUUAAGCCGAACCACUAUAAAUCUCGUGUUCUUAUUCUCUUCCCUAACUCCUUUAUUUUGUUCAUACUAGCACUCUCAAUUGGUAUCAGAGCCAAGUGCUCGGUUUAUAAAAGUGUUUUUACUUUUGAGCUAAAGAUUCUUUAUGGCUAGUAUAUUGGCACCAGGUCUUAUGGAAGGGCAAAGCAACACAAGGCCACCAUAUUUCGAUGGAAGAAAAUACAAGCAGAAUGGCCAGAAAAGAACAAUGAAAGAAGAUGAUGUGCAAAGAAAUAUAUGCUUGACGGCACAUUCAGAAUUUGAGUCUGACUCGGACACAGACUCAGAAUCAGAGUCUAACUCAAGCACAGACUCAGAAUCCGAUGAGGAAAUAAUGGAAAAGAAGAAGUUGGUAAUGAAUGUUUUUGGGCACAUUAUUCUCAUUAUACUUGAUAUUCGAUAUAUCCUUGAUUGAUUCAGAUUUUAUAAUGAUCAUAUUUUGUUUUAUUGAAGAAAGAAUCGCAUGAUUUGUUUUUGUGAUUCGAAAUUUAAUUUGAUACGUGUGAUCAUUUUUGAUAUCAUGCUUAAAGACAAAAUAAUUUAUUUGGUUUAUUUUUAUUCUCUCUGUUUUUAUCAUAUUAUGACUAAGUGAGAAUUUAUUUUUCAAAAUAUUAUUGUGCAUAAUAUUCUUUCUUUGAAUACCUUGUUAUGAUGAAUUAAGAAAGAAUAUUUGAUUAUGGAGAUUUUAUAUUUUACUCUAACGUCAAGGAAGGAUCCAAAUUGAUGGAUACCAAAAAGGGAAAUGAGUUGAUUGCAGGAAAUUCUUUAAGGGAAGGAUGAUUGCGAAUCUACGCAAAUUUUGGUGCAAUCAGAAAAUAUCUCCUGCGACAAUUGUGAUCGUUGCGGAUGUUGUUGCUACAAAGGAAAUAAUGGAAAAAAUAUUCUGCUCAACGUGCACAAGCAACAAUUCUAUUCGCAAAUAUUGUCAUGAUCACAGGGGGAGAAAGCAAAUCCAAAAGAAAAGGAAAAGAAUCGUGAUCAUCUCAAAAAGGCAACAAAUUGAGGGGGAGCAUUGAUCAAUUAUGGAAAAAUCUUUUUUGAUUGAUCGUGAUCUUGUUAUGAAAAGAAAAAAGGUACGUGCAUUUUAUGAUGCAUCCGUGAUUUUUAUUGGAUAUUUGCUGAUAUGAUAGAAGUGAGCUAUAUUGCAUAUCUUCAAUAUUCGAUAAAAGCUGAUUUUUCGAAAUUGUGAUUCAUGCAAGAUAUUUGUUAUCAUUCUCUACGUGAAUCCAUUAUUAUCGCUUUUUGAUUAUGACAAAAAGGGGGAGAAGUUAUGAAUAUGCAUAUGUGCUGAUUGGUUAAUAUUAUAUUAUCUAUGGCAUAAUAUUGAGCUGCGAUUAUUUUCUAAAUAUUAUUAUGCUCAAUUUAUUUGCUAUCUUCUGAUAUCCUUUGAUUUAAAUUAAAAGCAUGUUUACAAAUCUGCAUAUUCAGAGAUUGUUUUGUCAUCAUCAAAAAGGGGGAGAUUGUUAGGGAAAUCCCUUAUGAUGUUUUGAAGAUGACAAAAUAAAUCAAAGGCUACUAACAUGUUUGAUGGUUGAGUAAUAGACCAUGCAUAUGUUAGAACAUGUAGAGGAUAUUAUCAAAGUCAGAAGACGACCAGAAGACUGAACGUAACAUGUUCAAAAUAUAUUCUGAAGAUUUCCAGACUUCUGUGUCAAAGUCUAAAGACUGCCAGACUCAAGACUCAAAGUCUGAAGACUGCUAGACUUUAGUGUCAAAGUCUGUUCUACAUUAGAAGUCUGCUCACUCUGAUAAAUUCCAGACUGAACGUGAAAGCUGAACCAGAAGACAGACUCUAUGCUGAAGCUGAACUGGGUACAGACCCAGAUUGUAAAGUCUAGAGACUCAGAUUGUAAAGUCUAGAGACUCAUAUUGUAAAGUCUACAGACUCAGACUUUACAUCCAGAUUCGAUGAAUCGUAACUCAAGCCCAAUCAUACAACGGCUAGUGAUCUGGUUUGGAUUCCACAUCAAGAUUGAUUUGAUUGAUUCAAUCUAAUUGAUUGACGAUUGGAUCUUGAAGACAAGAACUUUCUACACAAAGAAGCUUUACUUAUGGAAACCAAGAUUUCAUUUGUAUGGAUGAUCGGAAUCAAUUUGGGAUUUUACCUUUGUCACUCAACGGCUACCAAAUCUUCUUAGAUACAGAGCUGUCCAAUGGGUAUAUUGGAAGACGAUUCUCCGGGAUACUGUCCAACGGGUAGUUUCGAAGUGGAGGAGUAUUUAAGGAGAUCAUGGACCGAUGAGCAAGUAAGAGACGGAGCGUAGAAUUUAUAAUUCCAAAGUCUGAGCGACUUUUGAUCAUAUACUUGUCUCUUGAGAGCUUAAACGUUUGUAAUCGUGAGAGAAAUACCAAGAGAGUGACUUAGUGAGAUAGUGUGAUCUACUAAGUGUUUGCACUCGAAGUUGUAAUCUCUUGUUGAUUGCAUAUUGGAAUCCAGCCAAGAAGGCUGUUAUCGUGGGAGAGUGGACGUAGGCUUGGAUUAAGCCGAACCACUAUAAAUCUCGUGUUCUUAUUCUCUUCCCUAACUCCUUUAUUUUGUUCAUACUAGCACUCUCACCAGGGAUCCGUCGCGAUCGGUGUUAGGGAAAUCCCUUAUGAUGUUUUGAAGAUGACAAAAUAAAUCAAAGGCUACUAACAUGUUUGAUGGUUGAGUAAUAGACCAUGCAGAUGUUAGAACAUGUAGAGGAUAUUAUCAAAGUCAGAAGACGACCAGAAGACUGAACGUAACACAUGUCCAAAAUAUAUUCUGAAGAUUUCCAGACUUCUGUGUCAAAGUCUGAAGACUGCCAGACUCAAGACUCAAACUCUGAAGACUGCCAGACUCAAGACUCAAAGUCUGAAGACUGCCAGACUUUAGUGUCAAAGUCUGUUCUACAUCAGAAGUCUGCUCACUCUGACAAAUUCCAGACUGAACGUGAAAGCUGAACCAGAAGACAGACUUUAUGCUGAAGCUGAACUGGGUACAGACCUUAAAGCUAAAUCUGUUCAGAAGCAGAUAUGUUCAGACCCAGAUUGUAAAGUCUAGAGACUCAGAUUGUAAAGUCUAGAGACUCAUAUUGUAAAGUCUACAGACUCAGACUUUACAUCCAGAUUCAAUGAAUCGUAACUCAAGCCCAAUCAUACAACGGCUAGUGAUCUGGUUUGGAUUCCACAUCAAGAUUAAUUUGAUUGAUUCAAUCUAAUUGAUUGACGAUUGGAUCUUGAAGACAAGAACUUUCUACACGAAGAAGCUUUACUUAUGGAAACCAAGAUUUCGUUUGUAUGGGCGAUCGGAAUCAAUUUGGGAUUUUACCUUUGUCACUCAACGGCUACCAAAUCUUCUAGAUACAGAGCUGUCCAAUGGGUAUAUUGGAAGACGAUUCUCCGGGAUGCUGUCCAACGGGUAGUUUGGAAGUGGAGGAGUAUUUAAGGAGAUCAUGGACCGAUUAGCAAGUAAGAGACGGAGCGUAGAAUUUAUAAUUCCAAAGUCUGAGCGACUUUAGAUCAUAUACUUGUCUCUUGAGAGCUUAAACGUUUGUAAUCGUGAGAGAAAUACCAAAAGAGUGACUUAGUGAGAUAGUGUGAUCUACUACUAAGUGUUUGCACUCGAAGUUGUAAUCUCUUGUUGAUUGCAUAGUGGAAUCCAGCCAAGAAGGCUGUUAGCGUGGGAGAGUGGACGUAGGCUUGGAUUAAGCCGAACCACUAUAAAUCUCGUGUUCUUAUUCUCUUCCCUAACUCCUUUAUUUUGUUCAUACUAGCACUCUCAAUCGGGCCGGCCAUCGAAGAGGCGGAUCCCCCGGCGGCAGCUGGCCCAGGCGCCGGCGACGCUGUUCGAGGCGAUCGCGACACUGGCGGAGACGCUCCGGUUCACGUACUCGGAGACCCUGGGGAAGUGGCCGAUCGGGGAUUGGCGUUCGGGAUCAAGUAUCUGAUGAGAAGGCAUGUAAAUGGGGCUUCGUCUCCCGGGGUAUUGGCUGGGUAUCGAUUGUUUUAGGCAUGUUCCCGUUAUGGAAUUCGGCGUAACUCGGUCGCUUGGUCUUGGAUUAGUGUGGUUCAGCUAUAGAAUGAUGUCUUGUAUAGUGUGGCAAGACGAGCCUUUUAAUCAGUGUCUUGGCUACUGACAGUUAUCCGUCACGGAUUGGGAAUGUGACCGCGCGGCGACAAGGCACUUUUGGACUGUAGAGAAAUAAAGCUUAUAGAGAGAGAGGCUUGGAGAGAAAGUAACUUGUAUUACUGAACUGAAUUAUUUUUCAUCUUUUGGGUCCAUAAAAAAGUGAUGAGGUAUUUUGCGGCAAGCGGUGAUCUUAACAAAUUCUAAACUGAAUUAUGUCAGUGGUAUUCUAAAUUAUGCAACUUAAAUUGUGCGGCUUAUUAAGAAAAUUAAAUUCCGUCAGCCUUCAUUUUGCUCCACUUAUAGAUGAUAAGACGACAGGGAGGAUAUUUUUUUUUCCCGAUGAUUUUGCGAGACACGGGAAAUUGUGGUUGGAUUCGCAGCUCAGAAUCAUUAUAGGGAAGAUUGAGACGUGCAAUCUACCACUGUGGGGAUCGUCAUAUCUCUCCAAAAAUUAAACUCCAGAAAUCUAUAAUGGAAAAUGAAACUAUUAAUUACGUUUGAUUAGUAAAUUAGUAAAUUACAGGUGAUGAUUAAAUAUACAAUUAAGUGGAUAUCUAGUUAAUUACAAAUUGUAGUGCAGUAACAACAAAUGCGUGUUGGACACCGAAUUAAGAAGUCUUCCAAUUUCAUGAUCAUGGCUGUCAAGUGUAUUUCUUUAGAAAUUAUAGUGCUAUGUCAUUACAGCUUAACCAUUAAUACACUUGGAUAUGAUGUGUAAUUUGGUGGGUUGCUAAAUUAAUCAAAAAUCAUGUAAGAAUCUCCCAAAAUUCAACUGUGAGAAACUCCCAAUAUUAUUUCAUUCAACUGUAAGAAUCUUACAAGAGUCUCUUAAAUGAUCGAAUCUCAUCUAUAAGAUUAGUGUAUUGAUGCAAAAUGACUAGGGUUCUUUUUUUGCAUAAUAACUCAAGGGCGAUGUGGAGGAAGGAAUGCACGAACGUAUAAACUGACGUUUUGUUACCAGGGUCAAAUUCCACCGUAACCAGCAGAUUUGAUUUUGGAACUGAUUUUCAUUAAAAAAGAAAAAAGAAAUGCAUGAUGAACUUGCUGGCGAAAUAUAGGAGUUAACACGGGAUGAUUUGUUGAUUUGAAUGAUCAAAAAAUCAAUAUAGGAAACAUGAAAAUGAAAGCGUGAUGAGUCAAUUAUGAGAACUCUUCAAUCUGAUAUUAAAACAUCAACGAUUCCAAUGGAAAUUUAUUAAUCACACCCAGAAUUACCAUUCGCACUCAAAAUUACAAUAGAGCACGCUUGCAUACCCCUUUUCGUGACAGAUGAGGGAAAAGACAGCAAAAUGACCCAUGACAGAAAUGGCACAAGAAGUUGCAUUUUAAACAUAGACAUUAGGGUUACCCAAUACGUACUCUUCAACGACUUUGUAGAGUCCCAUAGCCUUUUCUUUGCCUUGCUUGAUAUCAUCUUCGUUAAGCUCCACAUCCCCUCUUGUGUGGUACUCACCAAUCAUCUUGCAAAGGCAUCUACCAACGCUCGAAGCCAAGAAUUGAACCUCAUACACAAUCGAUUCGAUCUUGUCAAAUAUCACGUCACCUUCAAUCAAAGUGUACUUACAGACCAAGUUCUCAGUGUAGAGAGCAUCGAUUUUGCGCUUCGAGAACUUUAAGUGACCACCUAUAAUAUUUAAGGUAUAUUAACUAGCAUUCUAUAGAAGGUAUAUAUAUAUAUAAAGAGACAUCCAUAUAAUUGUGAAACAAAUGGGACUCUUUGAGCAUCAUUAUAAACUAACCUUUAGCGAAGUUGGUGACUUUAAUACUUCCCGCUCUUCCAUCUCCUUCAACAAACUCGAUGCUCUUAAUACCCAAAGGGGCAAUCUUGGGAAUCAGGUAGUGAGAAUCAACAAUCAAAGCCCUGAACAACAUUCUAGAUGGAGUAAUGGGAGUGGUGAAUUCUUGGGUAAAGGUGGUGACACUCAUGAUUUUGUCUUGGGAGAGGAAAGGAAUCGAACCAGAAAUUUGUGGAGAAUAAGAAGGAAUAUACGUAAGCGCUUUUUAAUAGCGGAGGAACUUGAAUUUGAUGCAGAAGAAGGAAGGACCGAGGAGCUAUUUAUACUCGUAGCUUUUAGACCUUCUUGAAAUGGAAGCAUAGAUACCUCCGCGGUGGACCUACCGGUCAAAGGACUCAACUCAAUCCAACUCUUUCUCCAAUUGUUGACGUGGCGCACGUUUUUUAUUUAUAUCCAAUAAUAGAUCGACAUGUGUUGGAUGAGGUGGAAUAAAAAAUAAAAAUCUUUUUUUUUUUUUUCAACUUCCUGCACCACCCACUCUUCUCCUCUCCUCUGCAAAUCGUUUCUCGGCCAUGGAUGACACGGCCUCCUCCUCCUUCCGGCCACUGCCUGCCCAGCCACUUGAGAAACCGGUGCGGCUGUCUCCACCGCACAAGCCAGAGGAUCUAGAUCUGGAACCGCGGAACCAUGGCCGCGUUCUUGACAGAACUUGAAGCCAUGGCCACACAACAGACCUUGGAGCCAGAUCUGUCGUAGUUAUGGCGUCACAGACUAGGCCGGCCCUCGCCAGAUCUGGGCGAGGGAUGGCCUCGUCAAGACUUGUUCCAUCAUUUUUGAAGGCUCAACCAUGAUUAGAGGUGUUAAAAUGGGUCAUAAACCCAUAUAUAACCCAUUUAAAUCAUAAAUGGGUCACUUGUUUUUGACAAAAAGUAGUUAAAUGGGUUUCACAGUUAAAGGUUCAAGAUAGGUGGGUCUUAAGUAGAUUUUAAAUGGGUUGGAUGGAGAACCCAUUUUCAACAAAAACCUUAUAAUCUCUCUCUACCCUCUUUAACUUUAUAAAAAUAUUUUUUUUUGUAAAAAUCGAAAUUAUAAUUUUUUUAUUUUAAUUUUCUCUUUUUUUUUUCUUUCUCCUUCCUCCUUCCGGUCGUCGGCACGGCGAUGGCCGGCGACCGGCCAGGCGAGCCUCGAGCUCGCCGGCAUUCGGCGAGCUUGAGCUCGCCAUAUUUGGCUAGGGGGAUGCCUCACCGACACCCGGCGAGGCUCGAGCCUCGCCAGUUCCGGCGAGAGGCAAGCUCGAGCUCCCCCGACACCGGUGAGCCUCGAGCUCGCCGGAUCUGGCAAGGCAAAGUUUAUAUUCUUUACUUUUGAAUCCGAACACGAUGCCACCAUCCACCUCGAAAUCUCAUUCAUCCCUCCCUUUCGUUCGGCCGGCAGAGAUGAAAAAUUGAACGCAACUCAAACAUAGGCCUUUAAAAAAAGAGAGAGAAAAAUUCACAUGUUUUCUUCGCGCAGAUGAAAACAAAAGAGGGCAAAUCGGCUGCUCUAAGCAACAAAAGUCUCGUGACUCUUUUCAUAGCAUUACAAUGUUACAGCGCUAGCGCGAAAAGAGCCUUGGCUUGCUAAAUCCUGGACCAGCCCCAUCUUUCAGCCACAAGUUCUUUGUACAUCUUCCUUGAUUGGCCACUCUCAUCUCAUCUCAUCUCUCUCUCUCUCUCUCUCUCUCUCUCUCUCUCUCUCUCUCUCUCUCUCUCUCUCUCUCUCUCUCUCNNNNNNNNNNNNNNNNNNNNNNNNNNNNNNNNNNNNNNNNNNNNNNNNNNNNNNNNNNNNNNNNNNNNNNNNNNNNNNNNNNNNNNNNNNNNNNNNNNNNUUCGUGGCACGCAUUCUCAGCCAAAAGCAAGAGGGGGGACAUUUCACGUAAUGGUAAAGGAAAUUUAAUGAUCCUUUAUUUUCUUCUUGUGGAAUAACUUAAUUUUAAAAAGUCAUUUUAUCAAAAAUGAAACUUUUUUUCUUCUUUAAUAAAAAGUGGAUAUUGUGGAUUAGUAAGAAAAUGAGAAAAUUGAUUGCGGAUUCUCAAUCUUUUUUUUUUUCACGGAUUCUCAAUCUUUGAGAUCAAUAUAUCUAAUAAAUUUGCUCUUCUUUUAUAACUAAUCUCUGUAUGAGAGCUGACUACCGAUCUAGUGAGCCCGACUACGAAGUUCUGACUCCACUAGAAUCAAAGCAUGAAAUGGACGAGUUUAGAUAAGUUAAUCCCUUUUUGGUUCGAUUUGAUUAGACAAGGUCCUUUUCGAAAAGAAAAAGUUAAUUUUUUUUAAUUUAAAACUGAUGUAGACAUGAAUUUUACGCUUGAUAUCAGAUAUAUUGUCCUUCCAUUCUCGAAAGGCAAUUUUGCUAGUUUGACUUUUCAAAGGUCAUUAUAGCCACAUCAUCGAAUCCAAAUGACUGUCGGAUUGUAAUAGUGUUGGCAUCACGGUCUCACGGUGUGAGAGUCAAAGAAUGUCCACACAAACUUCCUUUCUCAAACACAAGCACAUGGAAGUUUCCAAGCAAGAUACAAUUCUCCCUCUCUCUCAUCCGCAAUGUGUGGUGACAGUCAAAGGAUGUCCAUAAAAAUUUCCUUUCUUAAUUACAAGCACAUGGAAGUUUCCAAGACACGGUUCUCCCUCUUUCUAGUCCACAAAGACAAGUCUCUCUAGUGCUACAUUCUUUUUCUUUGAGAAAUCUCAAAUAGAGACCCAAAGUACCCUCAUUUCUCAAAGAUACAUAAAGUGAAGUCUAUCUCAAAUAAGGACCCAAGUGGUCAUUUAGUCUCAAAGAAGGGCCUUACUCGCCAGUCGGUGAAUAGAUGCAUCUCUGAUGCAUAUUCCAAUAGCCUAAUUAGGGUAUUUUGGUCUUCUUCUUUCUUUUCUUUUUCUUUUUUGAUUGUCCUAUUCAUCGUCUUCUUCAUCCCUAUUCAUCUUCUUCUUGCCCAGAUCAAGAACACUGGACUUGGAGAAAGGCCGGCGAGCACUAGCUAUUGGUAAGGGCCUAUGAGGACUCGACGCCCAUUGCUAGGGCUAAGCGAGCCCCCACUAUUGGCAAUGGGGGUCGAGCCCUCGUUGGCCCUUCCCAAGUCUAAUGUUCUUGAUCUAGGCAAGAAGAAGCCGAACAGGGGACAAAGAAGAUGAUGAAUAGCACAAUCAUUAACCAAAAAAAUAAAUAAAUAAACAGGACAACCGAAAAUGAAAAAAGAAUUUUUUUUGGACAAAAAUACCCAUGAUCGGGCCACCGGAAUAUGUAUCGGAGAUGCAUCUGUUCACUGGUCGGUGAGUGAGGUCCUUAUUUGAGACUAAAUGAUCAUUUUUUGUCUUUAUUUGAGACAGACUCCACUUCAGGUCGUCUUUUGAAAAAAUGUAGGCACUCUGGGUCCCUAUUUGGGAUUUUUCCCUUUUUCUUUUGUAACAUUCUGCUAAGUUCUUUUCUACUUUUUAUUUUGUCUUAGAUGGAGACUUCUUGACAAAACAAAGAUUAUCAUUAGAUAACUGCCGGCAAAAGAACGCUUCAAGUGCCAUAACUUUGGCCAAAGGGACACUUAAGUGCCAUAACUUACGAAAGGUACACUUAAGUGCCAAAUUCGAAAAAAAACGGAUCACUUGAGUGCCACUCCGGCCAAAGUCCGACCAAAACGCCAAUGUGGCGUAUUUCCGGUGAAGCGCGCCCAAAACGACGCCGUUUUGCACGCUGACGUGGCCAAAACGGCGUUGUUUUGGGCCGACGUGGCAAAAAGAAAAUUAAAUAAAUUAAUUUUAAAAUUAAAUUUAGUUAAAAUAUUUAAAAAUAAUAAUUUUAAAAUUAAAUUUAUUUAAAAUAUUUUAAAAAACUUUAAAAACCUUUAAAAAUAUUUUUAAAAAAUUAAAAAAAAUUUAAAAAAAAAANNNNNNNNNNNNNNNNNNNNNNNNNNNNNNNNNNNNNNNNNNNNNNNNNNNNNNNNNNNNNNNNNNNNNNNNNNNNNNNNNNNNNNNNNNNNNNNNNNNNUAUCAAAAAAUACAGUAAAAUAAGAAUUCAAAAAAUUAGGAAAAAAAUUUAAAACUUGGAUUUUGAGUAGUUUUACUAGAGUUAAUGUUAGAGGGGUUUAGAAUUAGUUUAGCAUAAAAAUGUGAAAAUAUUGUGAUGAAAAUUGAAUUCAAAAUUGAAUAAGCUUUUAAGCCAAAUCCCUCCCCAUCCCCCACCCCGUUUGGAAGGAUGUUUUCACGGGUAAAAAAAGCGAGGUGCAUCCAAGCCACUCAAUGCUUUCAAAGCCACCAAUGAUAGAAAAAUCCAAGGCGUGAUGACGGUUCCACGACGGAUUAACUAAAUUUAAUUUUAAAUUAAAUUAAAUUAUUUAUUUAUUUAUUUUGUUCCACGUCAGUCGAAACGACGCCGUUUUGGCCAUGUCAACGUGCAAAACGGCGCCGUUUUGGCCGCGCUUCGCCGGAAAAACGCCACGUUGGCAUUUUGGCCGGAUUUUGGCCGAAUUGGCACUCAAGUGAUCUCUUUUACUCCGAUUUUGGCACUUAAGUGUACCUUUCGUAAGUUAUGGCACUUAAGUGUCCCUUUGGGCAAAGUUAAGGCACUUGAGAGGUCCGCACGUCGAUAACUGCCUGGCAGGCUACUACCUUACUUUGGCCAGUCAAAUUUUCUCCAAUUUCUAUUAUUUUUGUUUGAACAAAUUUAUCCAUAUUAUUUGGCAAGAUGGUUCUAAUAAAGAAAUGUGUAUUGAAAAGCCCAAAUUUUCCCUACACUUCAUCUGUCUCACUUUUUCUUUUGAUGAGAAAAUGCAAUUGAAUCAAAAAACCUAUUAAAAGACAAUCAAAUAUUAAAAUUUAUCAAAUUGGUACAAUUAGGUCUCUCCGUUAAUUCUAUCUAAUUUUAUAAAGGGAAUAUGUCCAUGACUUUUUUUUAGAAUUUAAUUUCUCAAAAUACACGGAGCCAACGUGGUUUUUAACCCUUCCUUUUGAUUUACUAGUAUAAUAGUUUUGGUCUACUAUAAUAAUAACACCUUAUUAUGAGCCACAAAUUCUUAAAAAAGUGAACCCCACAAUAAUUUAUGAUUAUUUGUUAAUUAUUUUUUGUGGUAUAAAACAUUCUGUUAUUCCCACGCUAGUUUAGUGAUGACCCAAUCAUUUUUUUUUUCCUUCUCUCCAUUUACAUGCCUACUCUUGUUACUGCUCAUCUUCUUCUCAACGCGAGUUCAACCACGACCGUGAUUAUCAACGGUGUUUGCCCACCAAUCAAGCCUCCAAAGGAACGUCACCACCUUCAUCAAUCCCACCCUGACAGUCGACAGCCGCCGGCAUCGCUUCCAACAAGUCCGAAUGAGAUCCCCUGGUUUGGACUCACCAUUUUUGGAGCUCCAAGCAGCCAUUUUUCUUGGCUACGACACUUGUCGAGCUGUUUCUAGAGCGUCGUAUGCUCAUUCCGUGCCCCAUCCGAUGCAUACUAAGACCUGAGAGCCCCUAUUUUCGCGCUUUUGCGAGCUUCGCGUCCCUGGCCGGCAACCUAUGCCACGGCAGUGCUUCGGCCCUGUGUUAACACCCUUGACAACCCAAGCACAUUUAUGCCUUUCCGAAAUCGACCGGGACCAACCCCUUCCGUGGCUCUGCUCUGUUUCAACACUCACCGUCUUUGAGAGCAGGAAGUCGCCUUUCUCGCUUCACGGAAGUGCUCGUGCCAAGCGCUUCGCUAGUUUGCACGUUAGACAGUUCAAGUAAGCCACUUCAGACCCCAAAAAAAAAAGUAAGCCACUGAUUCAGUUUAUUUCACCCUUUUGGUGACCGAGAAGUCCUGGCUAAGCUAGAGCACGAGAGCCAAGGUGCUGCCGCCCAAAGAAGCAUUGGCAGAUUUUCCUUCUCUGUUUCUUUGGUCAUUGGAUUCUGCUCUCGGUGGAUUCAAAACCUUUUUUCUGGGCAAUUUUCUUUAUUGUUCUCUUCUGUUUGCGAGAUCCAAAGAUUGUAAACUGUCAUAGGUGGGUGGAUUUUCAAGAAGGAAUUGAGGAACUUGGAUCCCUCUCUCUCAUGCUGGAUGAGUUCUCAGGUUUCCUGCUGAAACAUGUCUCUGUUUUUUUUUUUUUGUAUAGUGUGACGCUGGGGCUUAUUAUUUCUUUCCCAAUUAACCCAAAACAGCUCGUUGAAUUUUGUAGUGUCUACUCUAGCUAGAUUUCCUGAUCAUUUGUCACUAUGGAUUGAUACGAGAAUGUUCCCUUUAUACUGUUCGCUAUUGUUGACGUGAUUCUUCUUGUUAUCCCAUCUCCACAAAGAGAUUGAAAUUUUCACUUACAUGCUCCAGGUGAAUCCUUUGAUUGAUUGUAGAUUCUACCAUGAGAUUAAUUGUAUUUGGAACAUAGAGCGUUGAAUCUUUUUCUCUCUUUCGGGUGUUCCUCAAUCAAAUACUCAAAAUCAAUUCAUUUAGGAACAUAUCCUAAAAAUCCACAAUUAAAUCAAUUCGGUACAAACCAAAGCUCAAAUAAAUAAACAGACCAUGCCACGACAAUCAGCAUGAAAUUCCGGUCACCGGUCAUCCCGGUUGAAUUUUUGAAAAAUAAAUAAAUAAAUAAUUAAUUAUUAAAUACUAAGAAAUCCAAUUUAGGCCCGUAUUGCCUAAUUGGAAGCUGGAACAGACUGGGAAAAAUCUCGAGGUUCCUUCAAUAAAUAAUAGAACAUUUCUACUUGCUAAUGACUAUGUCUAACCACCUAACAUGCAUUGGUAAGUCACAAAUUUAAUUAAUCUAAACUAAUCUAACCUCAUAAUCAUGUUUAAUUAACAUUAAUCAAUCAUUAAUCAUCAUUAGCAAACUAAGCGAGGUUUAGUGAGUUAAGCUCACCCGUUUAACAAUUCGUUCAGAUCAAAACGUCAGGAAUGUCGCGGGGGAUGUUUUUCUCCAAAGAGGGCCUAAGGUACGGGGCUCGGAAACACCUCAGAACAGUCUCCAAAUGCUAUUAGAAACCCACUUCUAAACCUUCUAUUUUAGCUGCAAAAAUAGAAGAAAACCAACUGAAAUGACAAGGCAAGGCUCUGGAAAGGCAACGGGGACGGUCUUAGGUCCAAACCGAGACAAACCGACGGUGGAGGAGGCUCCGGCAGUGGUUGGCAUGGCUGGACGACAAGCUAGCCGGUUGAAACAACAAGCUGGGUGGCGUGAGGGGGCGAGAAUGGGCGGAUGGCGUGCAGCUGGUGGCGCGCGCAGGCGGUGGUGUCCAAGCGUGUAGCGGGUGGCUCUCCAGCGUGCGGUGGCUACAUCUCCAUCUUGCUGCCGGUGGUUCGAAAAUGAGGAGGGAGAGAAUUUUGGCCGGUCGAGAGAGAGAGAGAGAGAGAGAGAGAGAGAGAGAGAGAGAGAGAGAGAGAGAGAGAGGGAGAUGAUAGAAAGAGAUAAGGGUGGAGGGGCCCUAUGCCUUCAUUUUCCAUAAAAAUAUCUCUUAAAACUUAUCAUAGGCCAAGUAUAAUCCCUUGGCUGUCCGUAGGCCACCAAUGCCUCCUUCUUGGACAUGUGAGAUGGUCCAAAAUGCCAGGGGGAAGGGGGCACACGAAUUUGACACAUUUUGGCUUAAAUUGGACAUCAAUUCUCUCUUGACUCACUCUUAAUUGGCUCUCAUAAAGUCAAUCCACCUACCAUCCGUCAUCUUAGCAUUUUUCCUCACCCAUGAGUCCAUCUCACAUUCCAAUUUUGCAAUAAAAAACAAUCACCGGCUUUUUCUGCACAAAAAUGAUCUUGCGACGACUUUUUCCCAAAAAGUGUUAGGUUGCAGAAAAAUCUUCUGAGACUGAGUCAACAUUCCUAGAAUUUAUUAUGAUAUGAUAGAAACUUUAAUUUCUGAAAUCGAACUUGAAUUCGUGGUUAAUUUCCAUUUGGCGCGUUUUUAGUGUGACCUAGGCCAUCGGAUAACUUUCAAAAAAAUUUAAGUGCAAAUAACUCGUGGUCAAUUUUCUUCGAGCCACAUUGAACCCACUCGACUCAUUGGUAACUCUCGGUUGUCGUGAACAUCUUGAUGAUUCAAAUACGGAUACAGGGUAUCAAAACAAUAAGAAAAUCAGUCUAGUACCAAUCGACGAGAAUAUUCCAAUUUAAUGGUAUCACCCACGAUUAGCCACACAUCUUUAUCAAACCGGUCUAUCUCUAAUUUUAAAUCGAUUUUUAACUAUACCGUAAUGGCUUCUAAAGAUGGACAUGGUUGAGAAGCCGAUUCUUGGUCAAAUUCUCAAAUCUAUUGCUUUAAAAUUUCUUAAUGAUUUCCCCAAAUAGUCUAGUUAUCUCAAGAGUGAUCAGCUAUUCUAGGCACAUCAAUGAAAUGUUCGAUUUAUUCAGUAGAAAGCAGGAUUGAAAAUUUGAGAUGUCACAACUCUUCCCCUCUUAUAAAAAUUUCGUCCUUGAAAUUUAAACAAUUACAAUAUUUAAGCAAAAAGGUGGGGGUACAAUUCUCUCAUUGACCCUUCAGUCUCCCAUGUCGCUCCUUCAGUACCGUAGUGUUGCUAGACCACUUUGACCAACGGAAUGGUCUUUGUACGCAGCACUUGUUUCUUUCCAUCCACAAUCUGGACCAGGCUUUCUACAUAUGACACUUGGUCAUGCACGUCCAAUUCCUCAAAAUUGAGCACGUGAGUCAAGUCAAGCUCAUACUUCCUUAACAUCGACAUGUGAAAGAUAUCAUGCACUUGCGCCAAUCUCGGCGGCAACGCAAGACGAUACACUAGGUUCCUAAUUCUCUCGAGAAUUUCAAAUGGACCUACGUACCUCAGACUCAGUUUGCCUUUCUUUCCAAAGUGCGAAGUUCCCCUCAUUGGUGACACCUUUAGAAAAAAAAUAAUCACCAACUUGGAAUUCUAAUUAUCUCCGGCACUUAUCUGCGUAACUUUUCUGUCUGCUCUGUGCGGUCUUUAAUCUGCCUCUGAUUAAUGCCACGGCAUCCACUGACCACUGGACCAACUCUAGGCCCGUAAUCUUCCUUUUCCCAACUUUAUCCCAACACACUAGUGUUCUGCACACUCUACCAUACAACGCUUCAAAUGGAGCCAUAUGAAUGCUUUGUUGAUAACUAUUAUUGUAUGCAAAUUCCACCAGGUGAAGCUGAUCUUCCCAAUUUCCUUAGAAGUCUAGUACACAAGCUCUCAGCAUGUCUUCAAGGUCUGAAUUAUCCUCUCAGACUGGCCAUCCGUCUGAGGAUGAUAUGCUGUACUGUACUGAAACUUUAAACCUAUAGAGCACUUUACAAGCUUUUCCAAAAAGCAGCUGUAAAUCUUGGGUUUCUAUCUGAGGUUAUCGUAACUGGCAUUACAUGCAUUCAAACCACCUAACGCAUGUAUAGGUCUGCGUGCCUAUCUAGAUUGAGGUCUUUUCGAACUACAAUGAAGUGAGUCGACUUUGUCAAUCUAUUGACUACCACCCAAAUUAAAUCAUUUCCUCUUUGACUCCUUGAUAGUCCAAUCUCGAAAUCUAUUGUGAUAUGUUCCCAUUUCCAUUCUAGGAUCGCGAGAGGUUGUAGAAGUCCUCCCGGGUUGCAAUGUUGAGCUUUAACAAGCUGACAUGUCAAACACUUGGCGACAUGCUUAGCGAUAUCCACCUUCAUACCCGACCACCAAUUGUAUUGAUGUAGAUUCUGAUACAUCUUAGUGCUUCUAGGAUGAAUACCGUAGCUGCUACGAUGUGCUUCAAAUAAAAUAUAUUUUCGAAGCUCCACAUCAUCAGGCACAACCAAACAUCCUCGGAACCUUAGUGUUUCGUCACUAGAGAUCUGAAAAUCAACAUUUCUUUUCUCAAUGUCCUCCUGAAGAAUUUUCUAUACAUUUGGAUCUGUCGAUUGGAGUAAUUUGAUCCUGACUUGGACAUUCGGUUUAAUUCUGAGGAUAGCCAUAAGACUUGAAAGGUGGCCUACCUCAAACUUGAAGACCGAAUCUCGAGUUCUUUCGAUUAAGUUCCACUCCUUAAUCAGUAUAUGUGCUACUAAAGACUUUUGACUCAAAGUAUCGACGACCUUGUUCGCCUUUCCUAGGUGAUAUAGAAAAUCACAAUCGUAGUCUUUUAGCAAUUCCAUCCAUCUGCAUUGUCUCAUAUUCAACUCCUUCUGAGAGAAUAGGUACUUGAAACUUUGAUGGUUCGUGAAGAUCUGGAAUUUUUCCCCACACAGAUAGUGUCUCCAAAUCUUCAGAGCAAAUAUAAUUGUCGCAAGCUCUAAGUCAUGUAUUGGGUAAUUCUGCUUGUGGGUCCUCAACUGAUGGGAGGUGUAUGCAACAACUCUACCAUGUUGCAUUAACACGCAACCCAACCCUCUGAAUGACGCAUCACUGUAGAUCUUGAAUCCUCCAAGACCAAAUGGAAUUGUCAAUACAGGUGUGGUAGUCAGCUUUUCUUUCAGCUCUUGGAAACUACUCUCACUUGUCUGUCCAUAUGACCUUCUCGUCUUUCUUCAGGAGUUUUGUUAGUAGCGAUGCUAACGAUGAAAAUUCUUCCACAAACCGUCUAUAAUAACCUGCCGAACCCAUAAAACUUCUUAUCUCUGUCACUGUAGUUGGUCUUGGCCAAUUGAUCAUGGCUUCUAUCUUGCUCAAGUCUACUAAAAUUCCUUCACCUAAGAUCACAUGUCCUAAUAAAGUAACAUGAGUCAACCAAAACUCGCACUUGCUAAACUUAGCGUACAUCUGAUGGACUCUUAGCUUUUGCAUCACUAAUCUCAAAUGAUUCUCGUGCCCUUCGUCACUUCGCGAGUAUACCGGGAUAUCAUCGAUGAACACGAUCACAAAUUGAUUUAGGUAUUCCUUGAAUACUUUGUUCAUCAAAUCCAUGAAGGCAGCUAGAGCAUUUGUCAACCCGAAUGGCAUCACUGUGAACUCAUACUGACCAUAUUGAGUACGAAACGCUGACUUAGGAAUAUCAUCAUUCCUAAUUCUUAGCUGAUGGUAUCAUGUCCUUAAGUCAAUCUUCGAGAAUAUUAAUGCUCCUUGCAACUGAUCGAACAGGUCAUUGAUCCUUGGGAGGGGAUACUUGUUCUUAAUGGUUACUUGGUUGAGUUGUCGAUAAUCAAUACAUAAGUGUAACGAACCAUCUUUCUUCUUAACAAAUAGAAAUGGUGCUCCCCAAGGUGAUACACUAGGAUGAAUGAAUCAUUUAUCCAAUAAUUCAUGCAUCUGUACCUUCAGUUCAUUCAACUCAGAUAACGUCAUCCGAUAAGAGGCUUUAGAGAUUGGCUCUAUUCCGAGUGCUAGCUCAAUUACAAACUCAAUCUCUCUCUCAUGUGGCAAUCCUGGCAAUUCCUUAGGGAAAACAUCUGGAUAAUCUUGCACGACUAAAAUGUCUUCCAUUUUCAGUUUUUCAGCUCUUGUAUCCACGACAGUUGCCAGAUACCCUUGGCAACCCUCGUCUAAUAGACGAGUUACCUCUAGCGACGAGAUCAAGACAAUCGAGGGUCCUCCUCGACUUCCUACAAACUCGAAACUCACCCCCUAACGGUUCAAACUGAAUCGCUUUGCAAUAGCAGUCCAUUUUAGCUCUUUACUUGGUGAGCCAGUUCAUGCCAAUUAUUAAAUCGAAAUCAUACAUGGCUAGGACUAAUAAAUAUAUUUUCCCCACUCGUUCACCAAUCACUAACUUGCACCCCAAACAACCCAAAGCAACAAUGACUUUAUCUUUCAAGGGUGUAGAUAUGCAAAUUUCUGACUCCAAUAAUAUAUGACUGACUCUUAUCAACUUAACAUAUUGCUUAGCAAUGAAGGAGUGAGUUGCUCAUGGAUCAAAUGAAACAUAAGUAAGAUGGUCAUUGAGCGAAACCAUACCUGUUAUCAUGUCAGGCACAAAUUUUGCCUAACCCUGUGUAAUAGCAUAUAUGGUGCCCUAAACUGGAAGUCUUAGCUAUCCUCCCUAUGGCGCAUUCGAAGGGGUAUACCCUCUUAUCCGUCCCAUUGGCAGCAGCAGCGGUAGCUGCAAUUGUCCCUUUAGCUUCCUGGGAUAAUUUCUGGCUAUGUGGCCCUAUUGGCCACAUUCGAAACACGCACCCGACCUAGAUGGGCACGGCGUUGACCCAUGUCGCCUUCCACAGAAGCGACACAUUUCAGUCCUAUUACGCUUUGACCUACCAAAUCCACCAUUCUUGUUAGGCAGGACUGGGAAUUUGCCUCCAGGAACAGGCCUCUUUCCUAGGCGAAUGCUGUCUCUAUGAGAGCUUAACCUCAAUCCAUAUGAGGCGGCUCUUUCGUUCUGAUCUUUCUCGAUCUUUUGAGCUCUCCAUGUCAUUAUAAGUUCUCAGAUCCAAAGAGACCAGUAUGCUUCUCAAGUCUGGCUUGAAUCCAUCCCUAAACCUUCACCUUCUCACUUGAUUCGCCGGGUUCUCAAUCAGUUCUGGAGCAUACUGCGAAAGUUCAACAAAUUUCGCCUCAUAUUGGUCGACGGUCAGGGAACCUUGGCGAAAACGUUGAAACUCUGCCAUCUUCACAUCUCUAGUAGUCUCGGAGAAUUUUUUUCAUUGAAGGCUUCUAAAAAGGUGUUCCACUCUAGAACGACACCUUAUGGAAAUAUUGCUCCUCGAGUAGUCUUCCACCAAGUAUUUGUAACUUCCUCCAAUUGGUAAGUUGCAAGGACUACUUUCUCCGUUUCAUUGCACGUCAGUAGUGCAAAAGCUUUCUUCAACUUCUGGAUCCAUGAAGCAGUAGCUCUAGGGUCUCUUGUCCCAGUGAACUAAGGUGGAUUCAGCCUCAAGAAUUGUUCCACCAGUUUGUAAAUUGGUCUUUCGGCGACUACUAUUCCUAGCGAGCCUUCGACGUGUGCGGCGGCAGGAGUAGCAACAGGUGCGGUGAUAGGUGCAACAACAGCAACAACUACUUGAUUCAAGGUCUAUUGUGCCAUGACAUCCCUCAUGGCCUCUAGCACCUGCAUAAUCCCUUCUAUUCUGAGAUCACCAGGAGCUACUACCCCGGCAUCCACUACAAGUGGUGCCCCUCUACUUGCGCUAGCUUGAGCUGGCGUUCGACCACGACCUCCUCAAGUACCGACCCUAGUCAGUGCUCUACCCCGAGUCACGGCCCUACUGGCCCUCUUGGCAGGAGUUAUUGGCUCCUGAUUGCUCAUGGUGUACCUUUAAUCUACUAAUACCUGCUUCCAAUUUAACACCGAAUUAGAAACAGAGCGAUCCAAACAACAAGCAAUUCUAGCACUCAGCUAACACAAACAUGCACCAACAUGAAUUUAAAGGCCUCUCCUACUACUAUCCUAUGAACCAUUGCUCCUUAUCACUCAAAACUUGAACUCUGCUCUUAUACCACCAAAACGUGAUGUCACGCCCCGAUCCUCGAACGUGUACCCAUCCCUCACUUGGUCGAUUAAUAGCAACGUCCCAAAACACAUCUCCGACCCAUUCAUUUUAAUACGCAUACGGAAGCAUAUAAAUAAAUCCCUAGAUAAUAAAAUAAUGGGAUAGAAAAGUAGGGCUAUAUUUUUCACAACUGAAAAAUAACACAACCACACUUUUAUACAAAGAUAACCCCAUAGUAUAUAAUACAAUACUAUUUACAAGUCUAAUCUACUAUCCCUCUGAUCAAAACUCAAAGUUUGCAAAACAAGGUAGAGGUCUCAAUCUUCGUCGGGAUCAUACUCUGGAUCAUCUUCUAGAUCCUCUUCCAACUCCUCUUCCUCAAGGUCUUCUUCUUCAAACUCCUCCUCUUCAAGUUCCACCUCAGGGUCCUCCUCAAGCUCAUCCACCGGCUCGUCCUCAGGCUCCUCCUCCAUGGGUUCAUCCUCCUGCCACUCCUCCUGGUCCACGAUCUCACCAUCCUCUCCGUUCCAGUUGUCGUCAUCAACUGAGUACACGGGAGCAUGAGCUUCGUCCUCAAGCUUCGAAUCCUUAACAUCCACUACCGACCCAUCCUUAUAAUCGGCCGUUCCUUCUCCGAACGCCUCUUCCAGAACGUACAUAAGCACCUCGCCUUCCGGUAUAGAACCUUCUCUUCACCCAUUGAAGUAAUGACGGUACCAUGAUCAAUACUCAUGGGGCCUCAGGGCGUCCUGACCCACGUCAACCCAGACGGUCGACUUAACCAGUACAUACUCUAAUCCUUCCGGAUGAGGGUGUAUGUAGAAGUGGUAUGCUACCUCUGAAAUCUCUUCAGGGAUGCCAAAAUGCAUCAGAGGACGACGAGGUAGAGGUGCUGCCAUCUAAGGGCCUGAAAUAUUAUCCCACAAUGGGGUGAGACUACGUCUCAGCGAAUUCUACCCUCCUAAGACUCGAUUAGUAAACCAAUACACUAUGGGCUGCCUAAGCACACACGAGUCAGAGGACUUACCUUGGCCUCAGAUCCCACCUGCAAAUCAGUACAAUUCAUAAUAGGCACCCACUUGUUCAACACAGAUCGAACUAUCAAUCAAUCGACCUAGUCAAUUACAUGUCAAUCAAACCAUUCCUCGGUCAUUUCAAUCAGUACCAUACAUUCUCCACGAUGGAAUAUCUAGUUGUUGAGCCCACAUGCAUUCUCUAGGAUGACAUACCGAGUCUCCAAGCCCAUGUGCAUUCUCCAGGAUGACAUACCGAGUUUCCGAGCCCACGUGCUUUCUCCAAGACAACGUAUCUACUCAUCGAACCCACGUACAUUUUCCAAGGUGGAAUAUCUAGUCAUUGAGCUAACAUGCAUUCUUCGAGGUGAUGCAUCACGUCAUCGAGCCCACAUGUCUUUUCCAAAAUGCCAUACUUUAAUCAUUGGGUCCACGUGCAUUCUCUAAGGUGAUGCAUUAAAUCACCGAGCCCACGAGUCCCUUUCAAGAUGCCAUAUUCAAUCACUGAGCCCACUUGCAUUCUCCCAGGUGAUAUAUCGACUCACCAAGCCCACGUGUCUUCUCCAAGGUGAUAUAUAUCCUACCACUAUUCCAAUAUAAUAUGAUGCCAUUCUCCGCGAUGAUAUGCUUAAUCAUCGAGCCGGCGUAAUACUAUACAUAAUCAAUCCCAACUCCACAAAUUCCACUAUUCUCCGUGGUUCACCAAUUUAUUUUUGAUACUGACAACCGAUAUCCGGUUGUUCCUCAAUCAAAUACUCAAAUUCAAUUCAUUUAGGAUAUCCUAAAAAUCCACAAUUAAAUCAAUUCGAUACAAACCAAAGCUCAAAUAAAUAAACGGAUUGCACCACGACAAUCAAAAUGAAAUUCUGGUCACCGAUCAUCCUGGUUGAGUUUUCGAAAAAUAAUUAAUUAUUAAAAAUUAUUUAUUAAAUACUAAUAAAUCCAAUUUAUGCCCAUAUUGCCUAAUUGGGAGCUGGAACGGACCGGGAAAAAUCUCGAGGUUCCUUCAAUAAAUAAUAGAACCUUUCUACUUGCUAAUGACUAUGUCUAACCACCUAACAUGCAUUGGUAAGUCACUAAUUUAAUUAAUCUAAACUAAUCUAACAUGCAAAUCAUGUUUAAUUAACACUAAUCAAUCAUUAAGCAUAAUUAGAAAACUAAGCGAGAUUUAGUGAGUUAAACUCACCCAUUUAACAAUCCAUUCAGAUCGAAACGUCGGGAACUUCGCGGGGGAUGUUUUUCUCCAAAGCGGGCUUAAGGUACAAGGCCCGGAAACACCUCAAAACGGUCUCCAAAGACAAAAACUUCAAUUUCUGAAAUCGUACUUGAAUUCGCAGUUAAUUUCCACUUGGCGCGUUUUUAGCGUGACCUAGGCCACUGGGUAACUUUCAGAAAUUUUUGAGUGUAAAUGACCCGUGGUCAAUUUUCUUCGAGCCACAUUGGACCCACUCAACUCAUUGACAACUUUCGGUUGUCGUGAAAAUCUCGAUGAUUCAAACAUGGACACAUGGUACCAAAAUAAUAAGAAAAUCAUUUUAGUGCCAGUCGACAAGAAUUUUCCAAUUUAGUGGUGUAAUCCACAAUUAGCCACGCAUCUCUGUCAAACCAAUCUAUCUCUGAUUUCAAAUUGAUUUUUAACUGUGCCAUAAUGGCCUCUAAAGAUGAACACGGUCGAGAAGCCGAUUCUUGAUCGAAUUCUUAAGUCUAUUGCUUUAAAAUUUCUUAAUGAUUUCCUCAGAUAGUCUAGUUAUCCCAAGAGUGAUCAGCUCUGAGAAUAGUCCUAUAGGCGCGUCAAUUAAAAUGCCUGAUUUAUUCAAUAGAAAUUUGGAUUGAAAAGCUCCAAGCUAGAGCCAAAAAGAAGCAUACAAAAGAAAUCCCCUCAUGUUUCAAUAAUUACCACUUCGAAGGAUUUUAAAAAGACAAUUUAAGCACAAACAUCGAUUUUACCAAGAGGUACUCUGCAACUAUCUUGAACAAUCCCAUAGCCCUGUCUUUGCCCUGCUUGAUUUCAUCUUCCUUGAGCUCUGCCCCUUCCUUAACAUGACAGUCGUUACUCAUCUUGCAAACGCAUCCACCAUCAGUUGAUGUGCACUUCACCUCAUAGACAAUGAAGUCAAUUUUGUCGAACUUGAUUCCACUUUCAAUCAAAGUAUAUUUGUAGUAGAAAUUCUCAACCUCAAGAGUGUCAAUCUUGUGCUUAGUGUACUAGAUGAGAGCACCUAUUACAUGAAUUCACAAAAGUGAAAAGAUUAAUUUUUUGUUUUGCAUUCUAUAAAUGAAUAUGACACGAUAGAUAAACAUCCAUUAUCUGACUUACUUUCGCCAAACUUGGUAUGCUUAAUACUACCAACUCCACCAUCUCCCUCAAUGAAUUACUCUUGUGCAAGCCCUCGCUCGCUUUCUACAACUUAUUCGUUUUUUUGUUAAUUUUAUUUUAAAUAAUUUAGUUUUAAAUUUAAUUUAAUUAAUAUUAAUAUUAAAAUUCAAAUUUGAGGCAAAACGACGUUAUUUUGGCUCUUCGUCGACCCAGCUCUUAGGCGAGCUAUAUUAAUAAAUAAAAAAUGCCACGUAGGAUUUUCAGCCAAGGUUACCGAAUUUGGCAUUCAAGUGUUCUAAUUUUCAAAAAAAUGGCACUUAAGUAUAACUUUCGUAACUUUUGGUAUCUAAAUGUUCUCCGGUGCCAAAUUUUGAUACUUGCAUUGUACUUCUACCGCUAUAAAUCAACUUGACAUGGUAAAGCUAUGUGUUUGAUCCCACUCACUUUCCCCAACGUUAGUCUAUUUAAUGCUACCAACUCCACCACCUCCCUCAACGAACUCAACACUCUUGAUGCCCUCGGGGACUAUCUUGGGAAUGAUGUUGUGUGACUCAAGGACCAAGCAUCCUCGAUGGAGCAAUGGCAGAUGUGAACUUUUGAGAGUAGGUGAUGACUCAUAUGUUUGCCUUGUAAGAAUCAAAGAGAAAUGAACUUGAGAAGACAGUGGAAGGAUUUGGGUGAUUGCUAUUGAGGAAGGCUUGAGCUGAUGAAGACGAUGAAGAGAAGCGCUUGGUAUUUAUAGUUGGUUAGCUGUUCGAAGCACUCCAAAUUGGACUGAUCAGCCUUGCUUUAAGCCUUUCUUCCUUUCUCAUUGGGGCAGAGCCACCAGUAAUCUAGAAGAUUAGGGACGAGUUCAUUAUAGAUCAAACAUGAAGGACCAUAAUUCUUUGUUCAUGUCGUGUUCACUGACACGGUAGAGGCAGUACAAUCUAAAUUGGUGAUAUAAAUAGAGAUAUCAACUUCAUAGAAAUUAUUUAUCAUGCCGACAAUGUAUUCUUCUAUACAUCAAUUAUUCCAUUUAUUAAAUGUUCACGUUCAUCGAUUAAGAUUCUCUAGACAUUCAAUCAUGUUAACUACCAUAUUCUCAAGUCACUAUUGGAAUAAUUGGAAAUGUCCAUAUAAUAGUUCCAGGCUAUGAUAUUAUUUGUCAAGUAUCGCAUUAAAAGAUGUUUUGAUGUGAUAUGCAUUGAGGUACAACCAGAUUCUAAACCAUUCAAAAUUGAAAAUGAUGGGAUACAACGUGAAUAGUCACCUUCCACAUUAUAGCAUUAAAUAUUGGGAUGGAUAAGAAAUGUGAUUUUUCAAGGCAUGUCUAGAUUGACUUUCACUUAAUUAAUCUUUGCCCUGCAGACCAUUUGACUCUUGUUUAUACCUAAAAAAUUUAAAACUUUCACAACAUACAAAUGGGAAAAAUGGCAUCAGUAGUCCCAAAAAUUAUGCUAAACAUGAAACCAAAUCUUAAACAAUUGAAUUUAUGCAAUAAUUUUUUUUUUACAGGAUGUAGUGUGGUCCUUCUGAUGAGGUAAACGGUCAAAUUCGAUGAUCUUGCACGCAAGAAUCUAUCGUCGUAUUUUAAACUACUUGUUAGCAUACGUGGCACCACAUCAGAAAAUAUAUCAAACAUACAAAAAAUUAAAUUAAAAAAGGAAAAAAAGUUUGGAGAAAACAAAAAUCUUAAAAAUAAACUAGAUCAAGUCAGAGAGAGUGGAGGCGCCAUGGACGAGCGUUCCAUCUCCACGGCGCCGACAAGCGUCGGGAUAUUUUUCAAUAUUCAAACAAUACGACGAAUUUUGGCACGAAAAUAUAACGUGCAUUUUAUUUAUAUGUAAAUGUACACAAAUAUGCUUUCAAGUAAAAACAUUAAAACAAUCGUAAGAAGCAAGCGCGAGGAAACAAAACAUCCUUCAAUGCACAAUUUUAUACAUAUAUACAUACAUACAAUAUAUAUAUAUAUAUAUAUAUAUAUAUAUAUAUAUUUUGUAUGUAUGUAUAUAUGUAUGUAUGUAUGUAUGUAUGUAUGUAAAAGCUAAAGAGGAUUAAGUUAUUUUAAAAUGACUUGUCCGAUCGAAUUACAAUCUUUGAGUCGUAAAACCGUCAUUCUCGGGGACUCUCUAUUGAUUGUGGUUGUGCUAACAUCACAAAAUGCCCAAACGUUUGGUCUGCAGCUUGACCGACAAAAGAUUGUUAAGAUGGCAAUAGGAGGUGAAGAUUACUAAGUUUUGGGAGGGUUUAGCCGAUAAAGAAGACCGGGUCAGGUCGAUGGAGAUGUCAGCGGAAAGUGGCCAAGUGUGGGAGCAAAGAGUCACUAAAUGAGGCAGGUUAACUCGGUCGAUGGGAAAGAAUAUAAGAUGUAGCCGUCAAGUAGCGGGAUAGAUAAGUGUUACCGAAUAAUAGGAGGCACGGAAGGCAAUUUUUAAUUCUUGGUAGCUGUUUAUGUAACCAAAUGUUGUAGAUUUAGAGAGUCAAAGCGAAGCGAAUUCUUUGUAAAAAAAUUGCCAAUCUAUCCAAGACUACGUGUUCAUCUUCAGGUGAUGCCACCCAUCUUUGCCUUGAAACGAACUCAAGUAGGAAAUGGAAGGAUCUGGUUUGGUGUCAUAGAAGAAGGCUUUUGCUGAUGAAGAUGAUGAAGAGAAAUCCAUAGUACUUACAACCAUGGCAAGUCCAUAGUUCAGUACUACAUCAUCAUCAUUCAAAGUACAAAGCACUCCCAAUUGGGCCGGGCCGAACUACUUUCAAGCCUUUCUUGUUUUCCUAUUGGGAGGAGCCAAUCCAGAAGGUUAGGAAAGGACAAAUCACGAUCAAAAGCUCCUUUGUCUGGCCCCGAUUUGCCUGGAUACGAUCUUUCUCGUCAAGAAAAUUGAAUUUCCAUGCUAUGAACUGAUUUAGACACAAAUUUAAGCUUAUAACAGACAGCCAUGACCACCAUUGCUAAGGUAUAUUCUACGUUCGUUCGUUGCGCCAUCAAGGAUGGCCGCAGAGCGCUUUUGCUUUGUUUCUCUUUUCUUUUCGCUUUUGCUCUGUUUCCGAAGGGCAAUUUUACUAGUUUGACUUUUCAAAUGCCUUUGAUAGCUACGUCCUCGGAUCCAAAUCACCGUACUCUAAAUUUGGAUCAACCCACAAAAACAAAUGUCUCUCUUGGGACCCUUCUUUCCAUUUCAAAUUUUUUGCUAAGUUCUUUUCUACCUUUUAUUUUAUUUUAUUUUAUUUUGUUUCUAGCCAAAUUUUCUCCAUUUUGUUUGGCAUGAUGGAUUUAAUUAGGUAAACAAUCUCAAUGUUUGCUUUCAGGAUUUGCGAAGAAGCAUACUACAGCUUAAUUCAUCAAUUUUAAGUUGCAUAGUUAUGAUGAAUACAAUUAGCAGAAAAAAAUUAACAAAUCAAAUUGGAUUUAUUCAUUUUUCCCUCUAUCUCUUCUUUAUGCAAUUGAUCCAUAAGUCAAGUCAAAAUUCGCCUUCAUGACCACAAAGGGAGAUCUUUUCGUGGGUAAAACCCAUAAUUUAUUGAAUUAUUCAUUGCUCCUUCAAGUUUUAUUUUUGGCAUGGCCUUACACACAACCAUCAAAUCCCUUUAUAACGUAGAAAUCACACAAUGAAAACCUUUCAGCCAAAGGCUCCAAGGCAAAGUCAAUGUGAAAACAAAAGAUACAAUAGAGACAUUUCACCCACUUUGCUAUAUCAUAACUCAAAAAUGAUCUUCAGAAUAGCAUUUAGGCACAAACAUCGGGAUUGGCCACAAGGUACUCCUCAAUAGCCUUGUACAAUCCCAUAGCUCUGUCUUUACCCUUCUUGAUAUCCUCCUCCUUGAGCUCACAACCCUCUUGGACGUGGUACUCGCUGGUCAUCUUGCAGACACAUCCACUACCAGUAGCAACGAAUUUCACCUCUUCCACGACCAAGUCAAUCUUCUCAAAUUUGAUAUCACUUUCAAUCAUAGUAUAUUUGCAGUAAAAGCUACCAGCAUCAAGAGCAUCGAUCUUGUGCUUGAUGUACUUGAUGUGGGAGCCUGUUAUGCAAAUUCAUUAAAGCGAAGAAGUUAAUUCUUAAUUCUGAGGUCUAUAAAUAGACUUGACAUGGUAGAAGUAUGAGUAUGAUCUAACUUACUUUCACCGAAGUUGGUUUGCUUGAUGCUACCAACUCCACCAUCUCCCUCGAUGAACUCAAUGCUCUUGAUGCCCUCGGGAACAAUCUUGGGUAGCAUAUUCUGUGAGUCAAGGAACAAAGCCUUGAACAUCCUUGACGGUGCAACGACACUUGUGAUCUCUUGUGAAUAGGUGAUGACACCCAUGUUGGCCUUGUAAGAGAUAAAGAGAACUGAACUCAAGAGGGGGUGGUGGAAAGGUUCGGUGUGAUUGCUAAAGGAGAAGGCUUGAGCUGAUGAAGAUGAUGAAGAGAACUCCUUGGUACUUAUAGGCAAAGUUCAUUGUUUAUUAUUCCAUCAUUCAAGGUCAAAGCACGCCGAAUCGGACCCAGCCGAAUUUCUUUCCAGCCUUUCUUUUUUUUCUUAUUGGCCGGAGCCACCGAUCAUCUGGAAGGUCAGGAAAAAGGACAAAUCACGGUCAAAGCCCUUUGACCGGCCAUUAUUAUAAAUUUUCGCAGACGUUGUGUGCCCAUCACGAUAGUCUAUAGACUCUAUACUUGGUAUUCCACCUCUCUAGAAAAAGUAAUUCAAAGGGAAUAUUUUGGACGUAACAUUAAUCAUCCAUUUUCGUAGCGAAAGCGUAAAAUAGACAAAUCUAGAUAAAUUAAUCUCUUUCUCACCUCCAAAUUGCCUGCAUAAAAUAUUUGUCAAAAAUUGGAUUUUCUAUACCAUAAACUCAUUCAGACACAAAUUUUAGGCUUAAUAUCAUAUGGCCAUGGUCACCUUUGUUAAGGUAUAAUUCUAUGUUCGUUGGUUGCGCUAUCAAGGAUAGAUGCAGAAAUAAGUUUAGGAGCUGAUUCCAUUGGGGAAAGGACAGACUUCUGGCAUAAAGGUCCAAUUUUUAAUAUAGAUGGUGCAUGAAAAGAUAACAAAUGAGCUAUAGGUAUUUUGCAUGAUCGACUAGUGGCUAAGUAGUCCAACCUUGGACAAGAAAAAGAAAAGAAACGUUGGAACUCGUUGAUGGAAGUGUAAGCAGUAGCUCUUAUUCUCGCAUGCAUUUAUGCUCAGUCCCUCGGCAUCAUAAAAGACUGAUUGCGAUGUCUUAAUUAAUGUCUCCCUUCCAUCGCAAAUUCUUACUUGUUGGAGUUAGGCUUGGGCCCAUGAACCUAAAAAUGGAGCUACUCAUGCGCUUCCAAAUUGGGCAUUCAAUCAAUAGGAGCUACCUUUUCCCUUUUACAAACUCCUAUCUAAGUUAAAAAUAUUAUAUUAGUAGUCUUCUUUAAUUUAUUAUUCUAAUGCGGGUAUCGCAUCCUGAAUGUAAUGAAAAGUUAUUUCUAGGGGAUAAAAAAAGGGACAUUGGCGGAGCCCUUUUUUAUUUAUUUUAUCAAGUGGAUCCGAUUUAUUGUGCUUCUGAUUUGUUUAUUGUUAUUCUGGAUAUUGUGCUUCUGUUUACGAAAGGCCAGUUUGCUAGUUUGACUUUUCAAUUGCCACUGUAGCUAAGUCAUGGAAUCGAAAUGACCGUACCCAACACUCCGUACCAAAAACUUAGGUUAUCUCACAAAGGCAAAUGUCCCUGUCAUGACCGUUCUUCCACUUCUUUUAAUAUUUUUCUACCUAUUAUUUUUCUUUUGUGGUAGUUAAAUUUUCUCCCUUUUAUUCAGGAAACAAUGCUUGCCUUCCAUGAUUUUCAAAGAAGAACACUAUAGCUUAAUUAAUCCAUUUUAAGUUGUUUAAUUAUGAUUAAUACAAUUAGUGGAAAAUUUUUAUUUCUUAUAAAUCAAAUUGGAUAAAAAAAAAAAGCAGGGUCCCAAUGUAUUCUCAUCAAAAGCAGAAUGAUUAUGUAACCAAAUGUUGUAGAUUAUAGAGUCAAAGCGAAUUCUUUGUAAAAAAAUUGCCAAUCUACCCAAGAAUACGUGUUCAUCUUUAGGUGAUGCCACCCAUCUUUGCCUUGAAACGAACUCAAGUAGGAAAUGGAAGGAUCUGGUUUGGUGUGAUAGAAGAAGGCUUUAGCUGAUGAAGAUGACGAAGAGAAUCCAUAGUACUUACAAUCAUGGCAAGUCCAUAGUUCAGUACUCCAUCAUCAUCAUUCAAAGUACAAAGCACUCCCAAUUGGACCGGGCCGAACUACUUUCAAGCCUUUCUUGUUUUCCUAUUGGGAGGAGCCAAUCUAGAAGGUUAGGAAAGGACAAAUCACGAACAAAAGCUCUUUCGUCUGGCCCCGAUUUGCCUGGAUACGAUCUUUCUCGUGAAGAAAAUUGAAUUUUCAUGCUAUGAACUGAUUUAGACACAAAUAUAAGUUUCCUAACAUAUAUGUCACUCAUUAUUUCAAGAAAUGAAUAUCACAAAUCAUCAAAAUUGCCAAGUAAAAAUGGCAGCUACCGAUGCUGGGUUUGGCAGAAAUAUUGCUGGUAAAGGUGGUUUUUGUGGGUGAUGUUAUAAUGGUUUAUGGAAAUUGUCGUUGAUGGUGGCAGCCGGGUGUAGGCGGUGGAGAGAGAGAAAAAGAGAGAACAUGAGUACCUGGGCUUUGCAGGCGUGAUCAACUUUGAGUAAGACGUACCUAAUUUAACGUUGGGACAUGGAGACUCAAAUCGGUCUGGACAGAGGAUCCUUCUUAAUUCCCACAAAGUAAUGACAGAAGUCGCUUUGUUGAAAAUGCUUAAGUAGCUUACUAGCUUUCGAGUUGGUUUUAUGUUGUAGAUGAAACUACGAACUCAGUUAUAGUUUUGCUUGUUUAGGUGAUUUAUGUUAGCUUAUAUACUAUAUCACUAGUCAAUUUACAUAAAAUUUACAUGACUGUUUUUUUACCAUGAGAACCCCAAACUAUUUCUUGUAUGUGUGUUGUGAUAUUGAGGGGGUGAAUGAUAACCAUUUUGGUUAGAAAUUAAUUUCUAGAAAAGAAAUAGAUUUUUCUAUUUCUAUUUCUAGAAGAGUUUCUAAGCAAAAAUAACCGUUUAAUAAUGACACAAAAUUUAUACUGUAAAUAUAUAAAUUCAUUUGAUAACGACACAAAAUUUCUUCCUUUCGAACAGCGGUGGACCGGCGACUGGCGACUGGUGGCGGCCAACGACUAGCAUCUGGCAGCUGGCGGUCGGCGUCUAGCAUCUAGCAUCUGGCGUCCGGCAACCCACGACGAGCAACUGACAGAUGGUGGUCGACGGUGACAAAUGAAGGACCGGUUGACAAACGAUAAGAAGAAUUUUUAUUUCUCAUUUAUGUUCCAAAAAUAGAGAAGUAGAAAAUUUUUACUUCUGAUUUCUAUUCCAAACCUAUUUCUGGAACAAAAAUCUAUUUCAGAAAUAGAAAAUUUGAAUAAUUUUAUCAAACAGAUUUCUAUUCCAGAUACAAGUCUGAAAUAGAAAAAUUGUUUCUGGAACAGAAAUAGGUAGUUGUCAUGCACCUCCUGAGUAAUUUAACUCAAACAUUUAUCAAGGAAGAAAGAAGUACUUCCUCUCUAUUUUUUCUAAAUUUAGAGGCAUGAACCUAAAAGCUCGAAUACCUAAGAGUUCAUGGAAUAUCUUGCUAAUCUCAUACAAGUGUUUCGUCUAUGAAGGUGGUCCUAACCCAAAAUAAUAUGCGUGUGAUUGAUAAGAUUUGACCAAAUAACCUCCAAUUUUUUUUUUAUAGGAAAUCCCUUUAUGUGUCAAGCCAGAGGUUUAAAGAAGAUCCAUAAACAAAAAAAAAAAGUGUGUAUUCUUAGGGUGCGUUUGGUAACCAUUCUAUUUUCGGGAAUAAUUUCUUAUUAGAAUUAAUUCUUUUUUAUUCUAUUUCUGAGAACAAUUUCUGAACAAAAGAACGCGUUUGAUAACUGUACAAAAUUUCUGAUUCUGAAAUAGAAAAAAAAAACAUAAAUGCGUUUGAUAACUGCAUAAAAUUUCUAUUCCAAUUCUUUUUCAAUUACCUUUUCAAAUGAGUGUAAAUUUGAUAUUGAAUUCUCAUGGACCACUCACAAAUAUAAUUGUCUUCUUAUGAGUGAAGAAAUCAUAUUAUAUUUUAUUGUAUUUACAAUUUCAAAAGAAUUCGAAUUUAGAAUUCUAUUCCAUUCUAAAAUUCAUCAAAAUCAUAGAAAUUAUAAACUAUAGUAUAAACUAUACCAAUAUACCUAAAAUAUGUAAUAAAUAUAAAUACUAAAUAAUAAAUUAAAAUAGAAAAUCAAAUAUGUAUUCUAUAUAUAGCAAAUAUAUAUAUAUAUAUAUAUAUAUUAGAAUAGAAAGAAAUCAAAUCAUUUUUUUAAUUUUAGAUAAUUUUAUUUUUUUUCCUCUUUUUUUUCUUGUUUUCCUUUCUUUCUCCCCUUCUUCUUCUUCUUCUUCAAGGUAGCCGAUCGCCAGACUUGGGAUGACCAGCGAUUGGCCAAACGAGGGCCAACAACAUCCCCGGAGCGUCGCCAGCCCUCAGCAAGGUUGUGCCUUGUCGGCCGAGCCUCGCCAGCAACUAGGCGAAACUCGAUUGAGCCUUGGCUAGGCGAGCGGCCUCAACCAGAUCUGGCGAGGCCAAGCUCACCCAGCCACUGCAAGGCUCGCCCUCGCUGGGCCACCACAAGGUUAGCCUUGCCUUGGCCGAGCAACACCAUCCUCGCAGUGCUCCGAUGAGGUCGAACCCAGCCGCGACUAGGCAAGCUCAGCCUCGCCAAAUCUAGGUGAGGUCAAGCCUCACCGGUGGCCGAGGGAGGCCCCGACGAGGCCCACUUGGCCACCAGCGAGCUCGCCAAAUCAAUCGCGAGCAAUGGCAAUAGCAGUUGAAGAAGAAGAAAGAGGAAAGAAGAACAAGAAAAAAGAAAUGAAAAGAGAAAAAAUAGGUACUUGAUUCUAAAAUUGUUCCCAGGAACAAAGAUUCAACUUCUUUUUUACUUCUCGAUUAUGUUUCAAAUCUACUUCUGGGAACAAAAAAAUAAAAAUUUGUUCUUAGAAACAAAAAUUUUACCAAACGCAUUUCUAUUCCAAAUCUACUUUCGGGAACAAAAGAACAUAAACAAACACUGUUUGGCAAGUUGCCAAACAAACCCUUGCUACUAAAAAUAGGCAGUGUUUUGAGAAAUAAUUGGCCUACGAAAUUGGCCUACGAAAUUGGCCUACAAAAAAUUCAAAAUUCAUUAGGACAGGGAUAUGUAGUAUAACUUUUCUCUAGAGCCAGAAGGAAAUUUAUGAUAGCAUAAGCAACUGAUGUAUAUGUAGAAGACAUUCUGUACCAAUUCAACUUGAAAAAUUAUAACAAAGGGAGAUCUGGUUGAGGGAAAAAUCCAAGGUAAUGCAUCAAUAUUGAAUUUCUCAUCACUCUUUCAAAUUAUAUCCUGACAUGGCCUUUCGCGGAACCAACAAAUCCUUUUGCACAUACAGGGACACUAGAAAGAAAAACCAUUUUUCACGCAAAAGCUCCAAGCUAGAGCCAAAAAGAAACAUAGAAAAAAAAAAUCACUCAACUUCCAUUGAUUAUCACUCCACAGAAUUUUGAAAAGAAAAUUUAAGCACAAACAGUGGGGUUUGCCAAGAGGUACUCUUCAACCGUCUUGAACAAUCCCAUAGCCCUAUCUUUUCCCUGCUUGAUGUCAUCUUCCUUGAGCUCUGCACCUUCCUCAACAUCAUAUUCACUUGUCAUUUUGCAGACACAUCCAUCAUUAGCCGAUGCGAACUUCACCUCAUAGACAAUGAACUUGAUUUUGUCAAACUUGAUAUCACUUUCAAUCAAAGUAUAUUUGCAAUAAAGUUCUCAACAUCAAGAGCAUCAAUCUUGUGCUUCGUGUACUUGAUAUGAGCACCUAUUACAUGAAUUCACAAGACUGAAAAGAUUAAUUUUAAGUUUUGUGGUCUAUAAAUGAACUUGACAUGGUAGAUAAACAUAUAUUAUCCAACUUACUUUCGCUAAAGUUCGUCUGCUUAAUGCUGCCAACUCCACCAUCUCCCUCAAUGAAUUUGACGCUCUUGAUGCCCCCGGGGACAAUCUUUGGAAUGAUGUUGUGAGUCAAGGACCAAAGCCUUGAACAUUCUCGAUGGAGCAACAACAGAUGCGAACUCUUGAGAGUAAGUGAUGACACCCAUGUUUGCUUGUAAGAAGCAAAUAGAAAUGAAUUCAACUAGGAAAUGGAAGGAUUUGCUGUUAUUGCUAUUAAAGAAGCUUGAGCUGAUGAAGAUAGUGAAGAGAAUUACUUGGUAUUUAUAGGCAAGUUGAGAGUUCAGCAGCCUAUCAUCAUUCAAUGUUCAAAGCACUCCGAAUUGGACCAUUCGUCCUUGCUUUAAGCGUUUCUUCAUUUCUUAUUGAGCGGAGCCACCGUUCAUCUAGAAGAUGAAGAAGAAAGACUUCAUUUUUCAAACACGAUGAAAAUCAACCUUGUAUUAUAAGUUAUUAUGUUACGAUCUUCUUAUAACCUUGUUAACAUAGAAGAUGCCCAGUUUGUUAUGUAGGAAUCCAAAGAUAUUCAUCAUCAUAACUACUACAUUCUCAAGCAACAAUUCUCGUGAUUAAAUAGGACUACCAAUAUUAUACUGUUGUAGUACAUGAAGUCCUUAAGUAAUAUUGCCUGAGGCACUACUAGAUUAAUAAAACUAUUGAAGAUUGUAAACGAUGAACAACGAAAUUGGUCAACUUCCAAUUCACCCCUUUCGAAUAUUAAGAUGUAGAACAGAAAUGUCUUUUGAAUGACGAAGACUAAUACAACUAUGCAUGACUUCAUAAUCUUUUGUGUACGGCAAUUUGUGGAUUAGUCUUUUUCUGGAUAACACCAAAAAUGGUCUCAGGCAAAGGCAAGAGUCUCGCUUGUCGGUGGUGGCCAGCUGGGUGUUGCGACUCAAUCCCAUUCACACGGGUCGAGCCCCAGAAGAAAUACCUGUGCGAUGACGGCUUCUUUAUACAUCAUUGAACAUAGUCUGGUCGGAUCUGGUAUGCGUUUAGUUUAUCCUCAAACCACAUAUCUACUAUAGGAUCACUAUAACAACUAACAUCUCACCCGGAUCCCCGAAGGCCAAGAGCUUAAACAAGUAUUCGAAAUAAUUGUGUAAGAUGUUGACUAUUUGAGGUAUGUUAACUUAUAUAUCAAUCAAUAGGGUAUUUCUCAUCGGGUAAUUACAGAACUUAUAUGAAAUUUUCACUUCAUACGACUCCGGAUUUGGAAUGUCACAAGAGAUCUCUCAAAUGCAUUAUAUUGCUCCAGCUAAAUGGGGCACUAAAGUUCCUCUGCGAAAGGCAAUUUAGCUCAAAAUAUUCGCAUCAAGGACAGGACACGGAACGUGAAAUUCUAUUUUAGUUAUAAUGACCUCUCUUACUUGUUGCGAAGAGUUUGUGGUUGUAGUAUUGUAUUUUUAAUUGGGCAUUGUUAAUGAAUACUUCCGGUACUAAUUACGCAUACUAAAUUGGAAUAAUUCAAUUAUCAAAUGCUAAUUGCAAAUGACACAAGAAUAGUCGGUGCAAGAGAAAAUGUAAAACUUGUGGGAUUGGUUAUUCAAUAAGUGCUCUAGGAACACUCAUUAACAAAAUUCUUUUUAAUAUUUAUAUUCCACUAUAUAACAUAAUCAUAAUCUCGUAUAUUAAUAAUCAUCAAGAGUCCAUAUGGUACAAUCAUGGCUGAAUUGUAAUUCUGUCGGGUUGUAUUGCAGUUAUGCUGCUAAGUGCUACAAGUCAUGUGCUUAAAAAUAUAUGUUUUAAAGUUCCAGUACCUCAAAAUCGGGUGACGCAACUUCCUAAAAACUGUUGUAACUAUGGAGGUGUUGUUAGAGAUGAGCAAAUUGCUCGGUGGCUUGAGAACCCAAACCGAACCGGCCAAAUUUUUCAAGCUCUUAUAGGCCCGGGCCGGGUCACCGGGGUUGAAAUAAGUAUUUAAUAUGGUCCAUUUGGUCUUUCAGGAUUCAAGGUACAUGAAGGAAAAUUUUGGGGUUACAUUUGGUAGUUGGAAUAAAAUUAAGGAUAUAAUAUAACAAAAUCCCUAAAUUCCAUACUCUAUCCUAUCUAGUCUUAUCAUUGCUAGAAAUUUUUUCAAGUUUCUUGUGAAAGUCUUUUCUUGUUGUCAAGAAACAAUUUGAAGGCAGUGUUAACACACCAUUUUGUUCCGUGGAUAUUGUCAAAAUACCGAAUCAGCAUCACUAAAAUGUAUUAUAAGGAACUUUUAUCACUCUCUCCGACAAAGUGACACCAAAACAGAGUGCUCUGUUUUUCUUAUGCGCUCCAAAUUCUUUUGCCUGCCUUUCGGCUCACAUGCUAUGCUUUUCGGAAGCCACAAGCAUUAGCACCAAUGCCGUUAAGUUUCCAAGUUUCCAGGUCCCGAAAAUUUGCAAAGUUAUUGAGAUGGGAAGUGAAGUCAUAGUAAGUGAAAAUAACUGUUUGAUAAUGCAUCAAUCAUUGAAUUGCUCAUUGCUUUUUGAAGUUUUAUUCUGACAUGACCUUACACAUAACCAACAAAUCCUUUUGAACAUACAAAUUCCUAGAAGAACCAUUGCCCAAGCAAAAGCUCCAUGCUAGAGCCAAACAAGCACCAAAAAGAAAAAAAGAAAAAAAAAAUCACCCUGAGCUCCGGGGUUAUCACUCCAAAGGAUUUUGAAAAGACAAAUUAAGCACAAACAGCGGGGUUUGCCAAGAGGUACUCUUCAACUGUCUUGAACAAUCCCAUAGCCCUAUCUUUUCCAUGCUUGAUGUCAUCUUCCUUGAGCUCUGCGCCUUCCUCAACGUGAUACUCACUAGUCAUCUUGCAGACACAUCCACCAUUAGCUAAUGCGAACUUCACCUCAUAGACAAUGAACUUGAUUUUGUCGAACUUGAUAUCACUUUCAAUCAAAGUAUAUUUGCAAUAAAAGUUCUCAACAUCAAGAGCGUCAAUCUUGUGCUUCGUGUACUUGAUAUGAGCACCUAUUACAUGAAUUCACAAUAGUGGAAAGAUUAAUGUUGAGUUUUGUGGUCUAUAAAUGAACUUCACAUGAUAGAUAAACAUAUAUUAUCCAACUUACUUUCGCCAAAAUUGGUCUGCUUAAUGCUGCCAACUCUACCAUCUCCCUCAAUGAACUCAACGCUCUUGAUACCCCCAGUGACAAUCUUUGGAAUGAUGUUGUGUGAGUCAAGGAUCAAAGCCUUGAACAUUCUUGAUGGAGCGACGGCACAUGUGAACUCUUGAGAGUAAGUGAUAACACCCAUGUUUGCCCUAUGAGAAGCAACGAGGAAUGAACUCAAGUAGGCAAUGGAGGGGAUUGGUGUGAUUGCUAUUGAAGAAGGCUUGGGCUGAUGAAGAUAGUGAAGAGAAUUGCCUGAUAUUUAUAGGCAAGUUGAUAAUUCUGCAGUCCAUCAUCAUCGAAAGUUCAGAGCACCCCGAAUUGGACCGUUUGGCCUUGCUUGAGUGUUUCUUCAUUUCUUAUCGGGCGGAGCACCGGUUAUCAAGAAAAUGAAGAAGGAAGACUUCCUUUUGCAAACAUGAUGAAUCUAAACAAUAGAAUAGGUUGCACUUUAAUUUUUUUUAUCAACAAUUCAUAUUAUAAGUUAUUAUAUUCUAAUCUUCUUCUGCCCAGUUUUUUUUGUAGGAAUCUAAGCAUAUAUAGAAUAAUUCAACUUUUAUAAAAUUGUAGGUUAUGAACAACGAAAUUGGUCGACUUUCCAAAAGCAUCACAUUCGAUUGGUAAGAUAUCGACGAGAAACACAUAAGAUUUUUAAUUUUGAAUGAAAAACACUAAUAUUAUUAUGCAGGUUUGACAUAUAUAUAUCGUUCACAAUAUACAAGCAUUGAAAAAUUGCACCAGACAGCCCAAAAGGAUUGGCCAAAUAUACAAUCAAAUACUAAACAUUUCAAACUGUGCAAUUAAAUCUUAAAUGUUGUUUACCAAGUGCAAUUUGGUCCUUUUGGUGAGGUUGUGGUCAUUAUUUGAAAAUAUGGCAUGCGAGAACUCAAUGUAGCAUUUGUAAAAUUCGUUUUGUAGAAAAGAAUGGGAUUGAUUCCAUCUUACCAUAUAUAAACUGUGGAAUAUCAAAAUUUUCCAUACUAAGGUCGUCUAUGACUAAGUAUGCCUCAUUUGCAGGCAAUUAUAUUUUCAAUUUUUUGACUUUACUCAAUCUCUCAAAAAGUCUUUGUAUAAGUUUGUUCAUCUAGAAGUAGGACCAGUCCAAAGUGGAGUGCUACGAAAAUAUUGAACUUGAAAUCUUUGUCAGCUAAAACAACUAAAUCAUUACACACACAUUCCUGAAAUCUAUAUAUACCCAUCCGUUGUUGCUCAAAAUCUUCGCAGCAAACUCAACAGGUUUCUUCUCCCUUCAAGCAAGUCUUUUACACCUUGCUACUUCAUUUUCAGAUCUUUACGCUCAGAAACAAACAUGGGCGCCACUACCUUUAUCCAAGAAUUCACAACUCCAAUUGCUCCUCAAGAAUGCUCAAGGCUUUGAUUCUUGAUUCCCACAAUCUCAUCCCCAAGAUUGUCCCCCAAAGCAUCAGGAGCAUUGAGUUCAUUGAAAGAGAUGGAGAAGUCGGAAGCAUUAACCAAACUAACUUUGCUGAAGGUUCUCGAUGUCCGUAAUAAGUGAUGCGCAUAUACUCUCGUAUUCAACCUACUUGUUGAAUCCUAUUGUAGUGAUUCUAAGGGAGAGCAUGAUCCUAAACUUAGCUGGGGGAGAAUUUUUCACAAAAUAAGUCGCCAAAUUGAAACGCUUGCUUAGAAUCACCAUAAUAGGAAUAAGUAAGAAGAAUGAAUCUGAGUAGACGCAUAACUAAUUAAUGAUGAUAGAUACCUUCGGUGAAGUUAGUCUGGUUGAUGCUUCCAACUCCUCCAUCUAUUUCAAUGAACUCAAUGCUCUUGAUGUCCUGAGGGGCAUUUCGGGAUGAGCUGUUGUGAAUCCAGAAUCAAAGCCUUGAACAUUCUUGACAGAAAAAUUAGGGUUGUGAAUCAGAAUCUUAGAUGAAGGCAGUGACGCUCAUGUUAAAAGCAGUUUUUUUUUUUUUUUUGGAUAAUGGAGUCUAUUGAUGUUUUAAAUGAAUUAUGUAACCUAUCUAAUUCAUUUUCAAAAGCCAUGUUUCGAACCUCAUUCUGAAGAUAACACAAAAUUAGCUACUUCUGAAAUUAUAAGAAACUUCUUCAUUUUUUUAAUGUUUGUAAAAAUUAAGUGGUUAAGCUCCUGUUCGAUUUGGAGAAAGGGAAUUCAUGCCCAUACAAGAAACACAUCCGUAGGUUUACUUACCAGUAGGCCCUUAUUGGUAAGUGUCACCGAAUAAUAGGAGGCGCAGCAGGCAAUUUUUAAUUCUUGGUAGCUGUUUAUAUAACCAUACGUCGUAGAUUAUAGAGAGUCAAAGCGAAUUCUUUGUAAAAAAAAUUGCCAAUCUAUCCAAGAAUACAUGUUCAUCUUUAGGUGAUGCCACCCAUCUUUGCCUCGAAACGAACUCAAGUAGGAAAUGGAAGGAUCUGGUUUGGUGUGAUGGAAGAAGGCCUUAGCUGAUGAAGAUGACAAAGAGAAAUCCAUAGUACUUACAACCUAGGUUGCACCGACAUGGACACGCGACACGACACAACAUGACACGCCGACACGUUAUUUCUCAAAAAUAGAGAAUUUCGACACGUUCCGACACGUUAUAUAUUAAAUAAAUAUUUGAAUAUAUAAAUACAUAAGUAACUAAAUAAUAAUAAUAAUAAUAAUAAUAAUAAUAAUAAUAAUAAUAAUAAUAAUAAUAAUAAUAAUAAUAAUAAUAAUAAUAAUAAUAAUAAUAAUAAUAAUAAUAAUAAUAAUAAUAAUAAUAAUAAUAAUAAUAAUAAUAAUAAUAAUAAUAAUAAUAAUAAUAAUAAUAAUAAUAAUAAUAAUAAUAAUAAUAAUAAUAAUAAUAAUAAUAAUAAUAAUAAUAAUAAUAAUAAUAAUAAUAAUAAUAAUAAUAAUAAUAAUAAUAAUAAUAAUAAUAAUAAUAAUAAUAAUAAGAGCCUAGAAUUGUAAUAAUCCUACAUUUGUUAAUAUCAUUCAUUGUUUUAAUUUGACAAAUUCAACUACAUUUCAUUGUAAUAAUCCAUAAAACUUGGACGAAAAAAAAGUAAUCCCCGUUUCAUUAUUACAUUUAAAAUUUAACAAUAAGAAAAAAAAUCAACAUUUCAUCAUCAAAUAUAACAAAAUGUCAUUCAUCCACAUUAUCCACUUCUUCUUUAAAAAAAACUCUCCGGCUCACCAAGUGAAAAAUUUGCAAUUUCAAGCACCCAACAUCUUCAAAUGAGUAUUAGAAAUUUGUUUUAGCUUUUAUUAUUAUUUUAUUACUUUUUUAUAUAUUUAUAUUUAGACCCCAAAAGUUUUGGAAAUUUGUAAAAAUAACCCCGUGCGUGUCGGAGUCACGUGUCGGAAUUUCCGACUCGCGUGUCAGAGCGUGUCCAAGGCAAUUGACCACGUGUCAGAUUUUCCAACACGCAUUGACCGCGUGUUGGAGCGUGUCGAAGCAUGUCGGACACGACACGAAGGGUCCCGGAGAGUGUUCGUGCAACCUAGCUUACAACCAUGGCAAGUCCAAAGUUCAGUACUCCAUCAUCAUCAUUCAAAGUAUAAAGCACUCCCAAUUGGACCAGGCCGAACUACUUUCAAGCCUUUCUUGUUUUCCUAUUGGGAGGAGCCAAUCCAGAAGGUUAGGAAAGGACAAAUCACGAUUAAAAGUUCCUUUGUCUGGCCCCGAUUUGCCUGGAUACGAUCUUUCUCGUCAAGAAAAUUGAAUUUUCAUGCUAUGAACUGAUUUAGACACAAAUUUAAGCUUAUAACAGACAGCCAUGACCACCAUUGCUAAGGUAUAUUCUACGUUCGUUCGUUGCGCCAUCAAGGAUGGCCGCAGAGCGCUUUUGCUUUGUUUCUCUUUUCUUUUCGCUUUUGCUCUGUUUCCGAAGGGCAAUUUUACUAGUUUGACUUUUCAAAUGCCUUUGAUAGCUACGUCCUCGGAUCCAAAUCACCGUACUCUAAAUUUGGAUCAACCCACAAAGACAAAUGUCUCUCUUGGGACCCUUCUUUCCUUUUCAAAUUUUUUGCUAAGUUCUUUUCUACCUUUUAAUUUUUUUUUUUUUUUUUUUCUAGCCAAAUUUUCUCCAUUUUGUUGGGCAGGAUGGAUUUAAUUAGGUAAGCAAUCUCAACGUUUGCUUUCAGGAUUUGCGAAGAAGCAUACUACAGCUUAAUUCAUCGAUUUUAAGUUGCAUAGUUAUGAUGAAUACAAUUAGUGGAAAAAAAAUUAAUAAAUCAAAUUGGAUUAAUUCAUUUUUCCCUCUAUCUCUUCUUUUUGCAACUGAUCUAUAAGUCAAGUCAAAAUUCUCCUUCAUGACCACAAAGGGAGAUCUUUUCGUGGGUAAAACCCAUAAUUUAUUGGAAUGUUCAUUGCUUCUUCACAUUUUAUUUUUGGCAUGGCCUUACACACAACCACCAAAUCCCUUUAUAACGUAAAAAUCACACAAUAAAAACCUUUCACCCAAAGGCUCCAAGGCAGAGCCAAUGUGAAAACGAAAGAUACAAUAGGGACAUUUCGCCCACUUUGCUAUAUCAUAACUCAGAAAGGAUCUUCAAAAUAUCAUUUAGGCACAAACAUCAGGAUUAGCCACAAGGUACUCCUCAAUAGCCUUGUACAAUCCCAUAGCUCUAUCUUUACCCUUCUUGAUAUCCUCCUCCUUGAGCUCGCAACCCUCCUGGACAUGGUACUCGCUGGUCAUCUUGCAAACACAUCCACUACCAGCUGCAACUAAUUUCACCUCUUCCACGACCAAGUCAAUCUUCUCAAAUUUGAUAUCACUUUCAAUCAUAGUAUAUUUGCAGUAAAAGCUGCCAGCAUCAAGAGCAUCGAUCUUGUG
rnacentral:lncRNA from 1 species